UCGUUUUGUCAGGAAUUGCAGAAGAACUUGGAUUGUAUGGAAGAAGCGGUGGAUGAAGAAGAUGAAGAAAAAGGAAUAUGUGACAGAUGGAGAGGAAAGUACAGAGAAAUGAGAGUGACGAUGAAGAUGAAUGGGAGACAGUGAGAGCAGAGGGAGAGAGAAAGAGAGUUUGUUUUUGGUCCCUCUGCAGGUUACAGUGAGAGAAGGGAAAAUCUGCUUGCAUUGCAAGAAACCAGAAUCAGAACCGAAACUUAAGGGGGGAUUUUCUGGUGGGUUACUAUGUUUGUAGGAAAAAUUCGAGCCGAGUUGGAACUAGGUGCUUGUACGCGCUCGGCAAUUAUCGGGUUGACUGAACCUAUGUCGAUUUGUGUGUUUUAUUAUUAUUUAAAUGUGAUGAAAUGUAUGAUAAAACAUUUUAAUUCUUUCACAGAGUUUUGUAUAGUCGAAAUUAACAAAAUGCAAUUCUACAUGAUAACUUAACACACAUAAAGCAAGUCAAUUUGAAAAUUUUCAACACUAACAUAACACCAAGUAAAAUUAAUUUUUAAUUUCAUUUGACCAUUAUUUAUAAGGGUUAUCAUAGUGAAACUUGAAUUUUAGUCAUUUCCAACAUGUAUGUCAAAUAUUAGCCGAUUUACAAAAUUUGAAAUUUUCUUAUGAAAAUGGUCAAAUUUCCUUAGUAUAACACACGAAAAUUGACCGAUUUUGACAUGCAAAUUAAAACAUUUUAAAUUCACUAAUAUUUUACAUAUAUAUUGAUAAUGGGUAAAAAUUAAUAUUUCACCAUGUUAAUCAUUUUAAAUAAUAGCUAAAUAAAAUUAAAAAAUAAUUUUUUUAAUUUGGAGGAGUCAUCAUAUCCUUAUUGUCAGUCUAUUUUUGUACAUAAAACAAAUAAAAUUGGGGAUUUUAAUAAGUACAAAGCAUUUGGAAUUUUAUGUGGUCCAUAGCUUAAUGUGGGUUGUUGGUAUUUGAAUCAUGUGUAACUAAAUUUGUUGUUGAUUAUGUAAUGCUAUGUGUAGCAAUUCUCAAUACUUCCAUCACUAGAGUAUAAAGAAAUCCCAGUCGUUUGUCGAUCCCUGAUCUUAAUACUCGGACGAGGCUCUUCUUCCUGAAACUCCAUGACCGUGUGGUUUAACUUCUCACCGCCUUUCGAACGAGGAUCGCACUUACCACCAUUACUAAACCCUCUCUUCUGCUCACCACCAUUCAUCAUCUUCAUAAUGUUCAUACCUCCUCCAUGCUCUCCAUGCUCAUCCUUCUGUUGAGAAGGAGAAGGGGCAUAAGGAUUAUACGGCCCACUAUUACCCUCACCGGGCUGCUUCUGACGAGGCCCAACAGGCCCUUCACGCUCUCCCUCCAUGGGCCUUCCAAACAUUGGAGGUGGAAGCCCAAACUCGAUAUCAUCACCCUGGCCCACCUUCGAGCUGUGUUGGUUUUUGCUCUUCUUGCUGCUCUUAUGACUAUCCUUUCUAUCCUUCUUGAGUUGUUGCCUGUUGCACAGCCGGCCGAGGCAGCAGGCUAGCCCCGAGACCACGAUGAUCAAUUCAAGAGCUUCUAAGCAGAUACCAUGAUACAAUUCUUUGUCAAAGUUCACACAAAUCGGUACAUGUCUCAACUGAUAAGCUUCACUCCAUUCUCAAGAAAGGAGAUCACAACUCUUUAGCUCAUAAACAAUGUAUCAUACAAUACUAACAAUUUAUUUUUCUCCUCUCAAGCUUUGUUAAAGAGAGCCAAUGAGAAUAUCUCUUCCUUUAAACAAUGUAUCAUACAAUGCUGAUAACUUGUUUGUAAAUAUUAUCUGACAUGCAAAAGAUAAUUAAAGCAGAUGCAGAGAAUAAGAAACUACUGGAAACAGUUGAUCGAACUUGGAAAUGAAGAAUAACAAACAUUCAAUACAACUAGCGAGUCGUCUUCAAAACUGUGAAGUGACAGCAAUAAGAACACCACUCACAUCCCAAUCCAUAAACUAACCGGAGUCUGAAACACAUAACUCAAAACAGACGAGAAACCAAAAAGGAAAAGAACACCCUAGUAACCGCCCUUGAGAUCGUUGGUAACAUCGUAAGGGAUGGGAGUGACAGUCUCCAAAGUAACACCACCUUCAACCAUGAAACCAGGCUUGGGACCCUGUGGUUGCCUCUUGGUGCUGAUCACCUCACCUCUUGCCUUGGCAGCUGCCUUGAGCUCGUCAUUCUUCUUCUUCCUGAGUGAGAGCUCCUCGGUGCACCUUGAUGGCAGAACAUGCUCGAUCCUGACGUGGAUCCUCUUCCUCAAGAUUUUACCACGGACCUGAGAUCAAUCACAAAGGAAUCAGCUUUCAGAAUGUCCAAACCAAACAAAAAUAACACUGAUAAGUGCAAAUAUUAUGGUAUAAAAAUGAGAACCCAAAUGUGAAAAAUACUAAACCUAUUCAAAUUAUAGGUUCACAAGGUGGAAAAACGUUUGUUCCCAAUCAAGUAAGGGUGGUUAAUAUAGUGACAGAGUUCAUUCAAGAAACUCAAAUAUAUUCGCAUUAGUUUUCAAAACAAUGGAAGUGCAAACCAUGUUAUAAAUUGAGAACGAAAAUGAGAACAAGACUAUCCAAACUUUAAGCAAUUCAGAUUCUAAGUACACAGGGUGGAAAAAUGUUUGUUCCCAAUCAAGCAAGGGCGAUUUCUGUAGUGAAGUGUUCAAUAAAGAACCUGAAAUAUGUUAACAGGACAGGCCAAAAAUUUAAUCUGGUUCAAGCAAAUGGUUAACAAAGUAGAGAAUCGAAUUCGUAAGUAUCAACAAAGAUCAAGGACAACAUUCAGAGCAUUUCACUUUAGGUAAUUAUCAUGCAUCAUUACUCGUUACUGAUAGAAAUUAGGGUUCACUUCAAAUCUUAUUGUGAAUAACCGCUAUAGAUUGCUUUCUGGCAAUACAUCGAACACCUAAUAGGCAAAAACAUAAACACAUCCACAAUACCAAAAGAAUAGCACAUACAAUCCAUGAAACUAAAUCCUAACCAAAGCUUCAACAAUCAAUGGGCAGUAAACAUUUCCGAUGUGAGUUAAUCGAGUUAUACUACAGAGGCGAUUGGCGAAGUAUUUUUAUACCUGCUUGUUCAUCUCAACGCCGAUGGCGCGCUUUGUGACGUUCCAGACGCGACCGGUGCGGCCGUGGUAGAAUUUGUGAGGCAUACCCUUGUGGAUGGCGCCGUUCACCUUGACGUCGACAUAGUCGCCGACCUUGUAGGUCCUAAGGUAGGUGGUCAGGGGGAUGUAACCCUUCUUCCUGAAUGGCCUCGAGAAGAGAUCUCGAGUUCUGGAGCGGAGACCAUGUCCAGCCGGCAUUUUUCACUCUUGCUUCGUCUUCUUCGCUGAGAGCGGCAGUGGCUGAAGGAAGAAUGAGGCGCUAGGGUUGUGCGAAUAUAAAUACAGAACCCGUAGUUUUGUUCUUAGGGUUUAGUUUAUGGGCCUGACUAUUGGGCCAUAAAUUUGGGCUCCAGGCGUUUCCCGUGUUGGUUAUUCACUUGCCGCGGGUGAGCUGAAGUUUACAGCGUUCAAUUUCAGCUCAUUAUUUUUCCGGCGAGCUUAAUUUUAAAUAUAAGUUGGAAAAUUGAAAAUUGUGUGGAGCUUCAAUCAGUUCAAAUAUUCGAAUUUGACUCGUUAUCCAUUAGUUCGAUUCGAAUUUCACUUUAUAAAAAUUUAUGGCGAUCCCGAUUAAAGUUUGAAUUAUUUAAUCGGUUUCUUAUCUUCUGAAUCAAAAUAGCUAAAAUUAAAAAACUAUGCAAUCUUAGUAUUUUGUUAGAUCUUUUAAAUUAUAUAUGAUUUAUAAUCUACAAUAUUAAAAUGAAACACCAGUUGCAUAACGAGUCUGAGCUCUUAAGUUAAUGUUCGAGCCAUCAAUUGUAUAACGAGUUUGAGCUCUCAAACUAAUAUUUCUAGUUAAAAUUGACUCAAAGUUAAAAUUUGUCACAAAUGAAUUUUCCUCAAAACAAAUCUGCUUAUGAACAACGGUUCGAUUUCUAUAUUAUAAGGAGGAAUCCAUAGGGAGAUUAUUAUAUUUUUUUGGCGCCAAUCUAAGGGGCAAUUGUGUGGAAGCAAGCAUAUGCGGGCAUCAAACGGGUAGUGAUACCAAGACUCAUCUACUCUACUAGAAGAGCUCUCUUCAUGAUUGUCCUCGAACUUUGUGUUACGACGGUAGUUCAUAUUGAUUCGGUAGAGUCAACCCGUCUACUUCUCUCGUCCAUCAUAAAUGUUCAUAUGAGUAUGCUACUCCACAUAUUUUCUUGCCGAAUAGCAUUUAUACAUUUGAACAAAAUCUAGUUCGUUCGGUGUUAGAAUUUAGGAUAAAUACAAGAACAAUUGACAUGCCUAUAUUACGGCAUGUAAGACUUGUAAAUGUUAAAUUUACGUUACGUUAUCUCUCGUCUCGUUGAGUAUUUUUCGUUCUUUCGUGUAUCAAGACAUGAUUAUUUUCUUGAUACCAAGGGAAAAAAGAAAAAACAAACUCAGCCCAUCUCAGCUACCGCCUCGCUGGUUAAAAUGUCUACCUCCACCGGAACCGAGGCCGACGGCGCUGUACCGCCGCCCGAAUUGCCGCAGAACUUAAUCCCCGGCAUCCCAAACGACGUCGCUUUGAUCAUCAUUGCUCGUGUCCCUAGGGCGCAUUUCUUGUCCCUCUCCCAGGUCUCCAGGUCCUUCCGCUCUCUGCUCAAAUCGCCGAUCUUCUACGCCACCCGCACGAUCAUUCGAUCCCCGGAGCCUUGCCUCUACCUCUGCAUCCGCAUCUCCGGCGGCGCUCAGAAUCACUUCCAGUGGUUCACUCUCUGUUCACAGCCUAGAAAUCGGUGGCGGAAUCAUGUCCUAGCCCCGCUCCCAGCCACCCCUUCGACACUCGUCGGCUCCGCAUUUUCCGCCUACAGCACCAAGAUCUACGUAAUCGGCGGAUCAAUCUCCGACGUCCCGACGGCGCUCGUCUGGGCUCUCGAUUGCCGGACUCGCAUGUGGUCGGCCGUCCCCAGCAUGCAGCUCCCUCGAGAAUUCCCCGCCGCAGGCGUGGUAGACGGCAAGAUCUACGUCAUCGGCGGGGCCGCCCGUGGGACCCCACCACAAACGGAAGAACAGCGCGGGUGUUUUUUCUCUUCNNNNNNNNNNNNNNNNNNNNNNNNNNNNNNNNNNNNNNNNNNNNNNNNNNNNNNNNNNNNNNNNNNNNNNNNNNNNNNNNNNNNNNNNNNNNNNNNNNNNNNNNNNNNNNNNNNNNNNNNNNNGUCCUUCCGCUCUCUGCUCAAAUCGCCGAUCUUCUACGCCACCCGCACGAUCAUUCGAUCCCCGGAGCCUUGCCUCUACCUCUGCAUCCGCAUCUCCGGCGGCGCUCAGAAUCACUUCCAGUGGUUCACUCUCUGUUCACAGCCUAGAAAUCGGUGGCGGAAUCAUGUCCUAGCCCCGCUCCCAGCCACCCCUUCGACACUCGUCGGCUCCGCAUUUUCCGCCUACAGCACCAAGAUCUACGUAAUCGGCGGAUCAAUCUCCGACGUCCCGACGGCGCUCGUCUGGGCUCUCGAUUGCCGGACUCGCAUGUGGUCGGCCGUCCCCAGCAUGCAGCUCCCUCGAGAAUCCCCCGCAGCAGGCGUGAUAGACGGCAAGAUCUACGUCAUCGGCGGCUCCGCCGUCGACACCCGAUCACAGUCCAAGCACUGGGCUGAAGUGUUCGAUCCAGCGACUCAGAAAUGGGACACCCUCAAGAGCCCGAUCGAGGACGAGUUCCCACUGCGGCCGAAAUGGAUGCACGCCAGCGCAGUAAUCGGCGCCGGCGGGACGGCUAGAAUCUACGCGAUGGCGGAUCGGCACGGAUUCGUUUACGAGCCGGGGAAUGGGAAAUGGAGGAUGGCGGAGAAGUGGUUGAAUCUAGGGUGGAGGGAGAGGGCGUGUGUGGUGCAUGAUGUUUUGUACUGCUAUGAUUACUGGGGGAAGAUGCAGGGGUUUGAUUUCGAAGCUGGUGGUGGGAGGGGAAUGUGGAAGAAGGUGAGAGGGUUGAGGAGGCUGACGAGGUAUUUGGUCGGAGCGACGAUGGCGAAUGUGGGAGGGAAGUUGAUGUUGGUUUGGGAAGGGAUGGUGAUAGGGAAUGGGAUGGAGAUUUGGUGCGCUGAGAUUGAGGUGGAGAAGAGAGGAGGAGAGUUAUGGGGGAAUGCUAUCUGGUUUGAUGUUGUUUGUAAGGUUCCUCCUGGGUCUUCCGUUGUUCAUUGCUUGGAUAUGACUCUGUGAUUUCGAAUUUUUGAUAUGGUAAGGUCGGAUAUGGUGGUGUUUGUUCUGAUUGUUGUUGUUGUUCUUCAACCUGAGUUUCUGUUCAAAGGUUUGUUUGCCGUGUUAGAUUUGAUUGACACCUGCAGAUUUUUGCAGAACAGUCGGGAUGGAGCAGUGGAGUAGUGGCAUCAAGGAUAAACCAGUGGAUUUUCGCAGAACAGUCAGGAUGGAGCAGUGGAGCAGUGAAGAUUUUCAAGCUCAAAUAUUUUGAACCCCUUUUCGAAGAGACUGUUGUGUAGUUUUUGAAAUAGGAGUUUCAUUUGGUAGGCAAUGGACAAAGAUAAUGCUGAACUCGUCGAAAGACAAGCGAGUGUUCGAUAAAGAAACUGGAGACAAUCAUCUACAGGGGUGCAUAACAGGGCUAGAAGAUAGCGAAAUCAAAUGGAAUGCUGGUCAAAAGUGAUAUAAUCCAACGCAGAGUACCAUAUUCUAGUACAGUAUAUUAAGGCAUGGGUAAAAAAGGUCCUAGAACAAAGAAGGGCAUUCUCCCUAGAGAAGGAAAGCGAUAAAACUAGAUAAUAUUCACCCCUGCAUCCAGAACUGCCAAUCCCCCACAAAAUGCUGCUGCUCAUCUCUCCCAGAUUUAAGCCUGCAACAUAAUCGACCGAAGAAUCCCGAUAUCAGUACUCAUGCAACACAUUCAAGACGAGACGAGCAUAUUUGCGCGUAACCAUUAUCUCUAGUUACCUUGUUAGCGAUGUUGUUGGAGAGCCAGUCCAGACCUUCGUAAAGACCCUCACCAGAAGUAGCACAGGUGCUCUGAAUGUACCUGGAAUGGUCAAAGAUGUUAACAUUAGUUUCGAGGAAACAUAUGCGGAGAACCAAAAAAACACCGACAAACAAGACAAGAGAAUGUUUUACCAGUGACGCUGACGGAGGGAGUGGAGGCCAAGCUUGUCGGUGAUCUCAGCAGCGUUCAUUGCAUUUGGCAGAUCCUGUUUGUUAGCGAAAACAAGCAGCACUGCAUCUCUCAGCUCAUCCUGUAAGCAAUGGCCAACAUGGAUUAGUGUCAUUGGUACUUCACCUCACAUCAAUAAUUCAUACAUCAGAGGCACAUAACAACAGCAAUAAAAGAGAAUCAUACUCGUACAGAACAAUAAGCAAAAGAGAAAUGAACUAGUAAAGAUAGGCAUAAGAGCUGAGUUGUCCUCACAAUGGAUUUUUUAGAGAUAGUAUACUAAGCAGUAAGAAUUAGACAUGUACUCAGUUGGGAUAUAGAUUGCAAGCAGCAAAAAUGCUAAUAAUGAAACGUGUUUAUUUCAGCAUUAGAUAAAUUGAAAGCGAAAAGGAAGCACAAGCAUUAAGCAGCACAACUAGUUUCUUAUAUUUCAUUGGCCAGCAGAGCUAAAUGGCCAAUAACUGCACGAGUAAUUAUAAGUUCAAUGUUUAUACACAAUUACGGAAAACAAAAGGAUUUACCUCAUUCAACAUCCUGUGCAACUCAUCUCUGGCCUCAACAACACGAUCUCUGUCAUUGCUGUCCACAACAAAGAUGAGACCCUGAGUGUUCUGGAAAUAAUGCCUCCACAAUGGACGGAUCUAUACAUGAAAACAUCCACUUUUCAUCAAUAAUUAGACUGUCAAGUAAGAACUCCCACCAACUAAACCAGGCGGCAGUGCAAAAAUAUUACAUCCAAAAGAGCGCAUCGGGGAAAAUCACAUACCUUGUCCUGACCCCCGACAUCCCACACUGUGAAGCUAAUGUUCUUGUAUUCAACAGUCUCCACGUUGAAUCCUGAAGAUCAGAAGCAAACAUUAGCCUGAGAGUCAUAAUUCCUAACCAGCCGCCUAUACAUCUGAGAUCUUUAUAAACAAUUACACCAAUGUCUAAAACUAGCACGUGAUCACCAACCAUCAAAACUUUUGAAAAAUGGAUGAGUUGAUCUCACAAAAUGAUGACAGAAUCACAUCCACUUAUACCAAUGCACAACAAUAACGGUUUCAGCUACACAGUAUUAGCCUUGGAAAUUGUACAUCACAACAGAAAGGAUGCUUACCGAUGGUGGGAAUGGUGGUGACGAUCUCUCCGAGCUUGAGCUUAUACAAGAUGGUGGUCUUACCAGCCGCAUCGAGACCAACCAUGAGAAUCCUCAUCUCCUUCUUGGCAAACAGCCGGCUGAACAGCUUAGUGAACGUCAACCCCAUUUUUCUCUUCCUUUGAUGUUCUGAUCCCUGCACACACAAUCGAAUUACACCCUAAACAUCACCUCACUGAAAACUGAAUCGAAUCACCAACUACACAGAUCCAAUCCAACAGAUCCGCGCGCCAAAUGCGAUGAGCUCACACAAGCUAACAAAAAAGAAACGAAAUCACUAGCUCUGAAAUCCAGAAUUCCAGCAGCUAAUCAGAUCUAACCCGAUCUCACGACGAGGAGGCCAUCAGAUCAGAACGAUGCCGCGAAACGAAAUUGACAAAAGAGAAUCAACGUCGCGUAAUCAGAUCAGGAAAGUAUAGUUAAAUCGAGAGAGGUGGAAAUCGAGAUCGUACCUUCGCAGACGGGAUCGGCGAUGAGGUGAAAAACGCGAACAGAGAGAUGAAAAAAGAAACUGAAGCUUUGAAACGAACGGGUGAGAGAAAUUUGGAAAGAUGGGAGGAAAGGUUUAUAAAGGCGAGGGGAUUUGAAGGGAAUUGACGGGACUACCCUUGUGAGAUGGAAUAAUUAACUAGAUUAGUGUCUACGCGAUCAUUGCGUAUGGGAUGCUGCCACGUCGGUGGGCUGAAUGAAUGAAAAAUGGGGAUUAAAUGUUCCAUCACAUUAAUUCUGAUGGCUAAUCUUGUUCCUUAAUCACGAACAAUCAUUAAAUGGUCGUUUAGUAGAUCAAUGUCUCAAAAAAUCUCUAUUCAAUAGCUAUAUUUAUGAAGCGGAAGGAUACCUCCUUUUGAAAGGUGAAUUAGGGUUUUCAUAACCCUUAAGCUUUUGGCGUCUAUCGCCGUUUUCCUUCCACCGAACCUUCAUCCGAUAAAAUUAUCAUCGCCGUCCCUAUCACGACUACACAAUCAAGGUCAGCCUAGGGUUUCAGAAACCCCUUGGCGUUUUUCUUUAGGGAUCGAUCGCUGCAUCACUACGUCGCUCUCCUCCCCUUACUCAGCAUCGUCGUCGCUCACCCGACACCUCCCUCUUCUCCUCCCGUUGAUCACCAUGGCGAGCACUCCGACAGCUGUUGCAGAAAUAGUAAUGCAACGACAGCUUGAUGCGCUGCAGCUAAUAGAGCGGAGAACGAGAGCCCCUCCAAACAAAUGAAGAGUAUUCAGGAAAACUCAAAAUACCUGACAACGGCAGACCUGGACAAUAGGUCCUGCCUUGAGGAGUGAUCCGUCGGCGAAAACUCACUCGAAAUAUCGCCCUCUUCGAGUGUUUGAUGUUUUGGGUGUCCCCAAUUUAGGCUCUACCGGUCGUUUAUUGAUUUCUUAGUUUUGAAUGUGUCUUUCUGCUUGAACAAUUAUUUCUUAUUUGCCUUCACUUUUGUUGUCGGGUAGAGUUUAGUGUUUGGGAUGUUAACCCGUGUUCAAGGGUUUCUAAUAUAGAGGUGAUUGGAAGCACAAAAGUAGUAACUCAAACUACUCUCUACUCGUUAUGAGUGGUAAUCCUCUCUAGAGAUUGUUAGACAAGUUGAAUAUCAUUUUACUAAGAAUAUAAUAAUAUAAGUAGAUCAAAUUCGAAAAAAAAUCAUAGAUCAAUAUCCAAAAAAAUGCAUAAUGAUGUAGCCUUGUUAAAUAGCUAUAUCAUGAUCAAGCUGACCAAACAAAGCCCUUUGCUUGGUUCAAUUCCAACUUUCUUUCGGCUUACAAGAAGAUGAAAUAAAACUACACGUAAAGUUGAUAUUAACAUAUGGUCAUGUCUUAACAGUUAAGCUUGAUGUGGGUUGAAUAGUUUAUUUAGGAAUGUAUUAUUAAACCUUGUUACAAUUAUUAGCUUCCUUAAUCAAGACCCCCAUUUGAAAAAAUCAUUGUUAACCCAUAAUAAUCACAACCAAUUAAUUGCAACUAAUCUUCCCCAUUUUUUGUUGGUGGAUCACCGUCUCGGAACUAACAUGUUCGGCUUUGGAUCAUUCGCGAUUCUGUGGCAUGCUGAGCUACCAGUUUGGACCAACUCGGUAAACUAAUUGUAGGACGUUGUUGGAAGACAAUGCACGAACUUUUCGGUUCGAAGAGCUACUAAAUACGACAAUGUAGAAGAAAGAUAUGAAUGCACUAUCUCAGCACGACCAGGAAAAUAUAAAAGAGUAUGUCUGUAAUUCGUAGAACUUUGCAUUCAAUUUCUGGGAGAAUGGCUUGUUUAAGUUAAUGCUAACAAACCUUUGUUAACUGAGAUCACCUUCUAACUUUUCAUAUGAAUAAUAGGGUUACACAUAAAAAGCGAUUGCCCGUGAGCCAAGAAACUUAUGUACAGUGAGAAACUAUCUAUACAUCGAAUUACCUUUUUCGCCACCUUCGUCUUCCUCCGUAACCUCUUUAACCGUUGAUGUUUGCAGAAGCUGGAACUUAGCGCCAGUACUGAGCCCAACGGUGAAUAGUCUCCACCAUUUGAGGGAACAAUGCGCUGACGCUCUCGUUGAUCAGGUCCUGGAAGAAAUGGAUGGCUGCUUCGUCGUCCAAGUCCAGCCGGAACUUCUCCUGGAGCUGCAAUGAUUCGGCGAAGCUUUUAGUAUGUAUACAAGUCCACGUGUUAUGUACAUAAGUUACGGUAUUUACCUUGAGUAUUCCCUUCUCUGGAUCGGAAGCGAUAUCGGGGAUAUUGGAACCGGCCAUCAGAUGGAAAAGGUUAAGGAUUAGGUUGCUUGAUUUCCGGAGGAUGUUGUAUGCUUCGCAGCAAUAUGAUUUGAACCUGGUGUAGUAUUGGCUAUAUAGCACAGGGGAAAGAGGAAACUAGUCACGUUCUAUAGCUCGUUUGGAUAGGAAAGGUUGCGAAAUUAACUAUAAGAAGACCAAUACCUUUCUGCGCCACCCAUCGCCUCGACCAUCUCUUUGCAAAGCUUCAUCGGUGGCGGAAAUGGUUUAGGAUCUCGGCCGAGAAUAUAACCAAAGUCGACGUGGAACAUGCGCCCGUCGUCUCUGAGUAGAAGAUUGUCCAAGUGUCUGCAAAGUCUCUGAGUAGGUAAAUUUCAAGAACAAGAGGCGAAGUUGUCUGACAACUUGUCUCAACAAAUCCAAACGGGAAGAAUUGCUCCGAAUAAGGAUUAGUGAAUAGUGAUCAUCAGGGUGAUACCUAGCCGCUCAAAACAGCUUAAAUGGUUGGUUACCUAUCUCCGAUGCCCAGUAUAUAUGUGAUGACAGAAUAGCCUGCACAGCUUUUAAUAAACGUCUCGAGACAAGUGGGAGUGAUCCCAAAGGGCCCGUGAUCAUCAGGAUGAAACUUCUGUAAAUAGCUUGUAAUGCUACGAUGCUCCGAGAGAAUCUGGAUUUCGACAACCAAGACAAACGAAAUGGAUGAACGUUGAGGAAUAAAGGCUAUUGACUGAAGCUGAAUGACAGUAGUCCUGAUAAUGUUUAAUGACCAACUACAAUAGAGAACUAUGCAAGACAAGAUGGUUCAUGAAAGGACACUAUCUAGGAUAUACCUGAGCCAAAGUUCGUGAGGGUAUGAAUUCGAGCAUGCCCUCAUCUUGUCCAGUAGCAAGAACUUUAUAUGGAGUCAAAUGCAGAUCAAGAUUUUCCAACUUAAGCAACCGAUCCAUUAGAGAAACCAUCUGAACAACCUGUAAGUCCAUAAACCUGUUACCUGUCAAACAUAUGAUAAUCUCUUCGGAAUUUUUUUAACAUUCUCCCACUUGUUUCAAAUGGAUCGGAAGAUUUGUGAUUACAUGCAAAGACUAGACUUUGAGGAGGAAAAAGGAAAAAAGUACUGCAGAUAUAGAAAGCAAAAAGACUUUUGAAAGUCUUGCUAAGAAAGUACCAGUUGGUCUUGCCGAAUAUCAUCACCCUUCUUAAAAAUGAUCAUAGAAGUUCCACCACUCUGUGUUCUGAAAGUCAGGCGCAGGGGGUGCAGCGCACUUUUGAAUAUUGAUGACUCCGAUGGCACAAUCCCAGAAAUGAGGACAGAUGGAGCCAGUGGAGAUCUUAUCGGCUGAAAGGAAAACGAAUAUUGCAAAGAGAGCCAUACGUAGUUGAACAUCAAUUUUGCAACACUGGCGUUUCAAAGUGUUCAAAUAUCACAAACCAAAAAGUCGGUUGGUAGUUGGUAUAAAACUUAGAUGGAUGAAUACCUCCUCAAAAUAAGUGAGUUCACUGAGAAGCCCAGAAAGAAGCUGUCUAAGCUUUUCAAUUUUCUUCUGAGUGUUGCCUCGAACAUUUCUGACAUCUCUUGUUAUAGAACACAACUGCGCUGUCAAUUCUGUCUGGCGCACUAAACUUUGCCACGACUUGAAUCCAUCCUCUUCUCCGUCUGGACCAGCUAGCAACUAUUACAAAAAUGAUAGAUGAUUGCAAAGUGAGAAUACACCAUCAAUUCUUGCAGCCCCUAUUAAUUGACAAUACAGAUUGAUAUGCUCCACUCUCAAGUGUUACAUUUAGCGAGGAAUCCAGUCCCCUCGGAUUUCUAAAAUGAAUAGUAGACUCAGAAGUGUUCAGAGAAUAUAUAGUAAGAGUGUAAGACACAGAUAAAUGUAUUAGAGAACAUUCGGCCGAUCUCUUGGAUUCAUACCUUCAUCAUAUUCUCUUCUAGGAGCUCAUGAGUACAAUAAAAGCGUUUGGUAUAAGCGUGAUCAUAAAAUUCCACAGCAACGUACCAUCGGAGAAAGCUAGCCAACUCAAUGUUGUUUAAUGCUGUCAAGAUGAAUAAGGUUUCAGCUACAGAAAACAAGCUUAACUGCUAAGUUGCACCAGAAAAUUAAACAGACACGGCAAUCCAUAAUUAGGCAUUUUGGCUACAGUACUUACAGCGUUGCACAAGGAACUGAGAAAGACGAGAUUUAUCGGAUCGUUCAAAUCUUAGCGCCUGAACUAGUUGAAGCAAGUAACAUUGGAGUUCUUCAUCAUCAGCCCUCUCCAAAACAGUGACAGCAUAAGCACGAACCUGUUUUCUCAGAUAAAUAUGACCACUCAAUCAAGUGUUCAUCACUCUUUUCCUAGCUACGACAAUAAUGUCUUAAGAGCCACUGUAUUUAAUUUUUCAGCACAAGCUUUCAAUUUUGGAAAAGAAAUCAAUUCUUCAAACAUCUCCUUCCUCAACAGUAUCCAUAACUUUCUCAACAGAAUGGAGAAAGCCUACAGCAUUGGGCGAGCAUAAUUUCACCAAAGACCUACCUCUUCACUUUCAAAAAGAGGAGAUAGAAGCUCAAGCGCAUCAGAGACAUCAAUAGUUUCCCAUUUGCCCAUCAACUCUAGCGCUUGUUUUGCUUCCUGUAUAUACAUGGUGCACUAAUCAGGAUUCAAAGUUGUAUUUGAGGAAAACGAGGAGGAGAAACCAGUAGAAGAUACAUGACAAAAGACAUUAAGGAAAAAGUAUUAUAUCAUACAGAUACUAUUGACAGUUGCAUGCAGCUAAGUUCUUAAACUCCUGCCAGGAAUAAUAGCGAAUGCUAACCUGAAGGUCACUCCACUCCACGCAUCGGAGAAACUUUGUCAGUGCCCUCUUUUCAGACAUCAAAGAAAACCGGAAUUUCCAUAAGAGUUGUCUCUCAUCACCACUCAAUGAUCGUGUUGGUGGGUAUUUUAAAAUUCUUUGUAUCGACCUGGAGAGAAAUUCAUGCACAAUUUAAGCUCAGAAGUCAAAAGGGCAUAGGAGCUCGAUGCCAAGAACACUGCAAUUGCUUUCUUACUUUCUUUCGUUGGAGCUUGGCUUCAAAUCCUUGUCAAUGAUACCUCGUGUUAAGCUCCUUGCUAAUUUCAGUUGCUUGUGCUCAGAAGGAUUUAUCUUACCCAUUUCAGGGUCCCACACAGUAACAAGUUCAUUCGUUGAAGAAAUGGGUGAUGGGAAUACAAAAUUUGCCCCUGAUUCCUACAGGUGAAAAAAGGGAAACAUCAUAAUCACAAAACUUAUUCAUCCCGCUCUACCAAUAAAGCAAGUCAAAAUUCCCAUAGGUAAUACAAUUUACCAUCAUACAAAGUGUUGUAGUUAGGAACUGAUGACCAGUAGCAACACAAAGAAAGAACUUGAAGCAGAAGACCAUAGAAAAAUCUGAUGGUACACAUAAGAUACCUGGAAAACAACUCUAUGUUCAAAGCUGCAGAAAUCAACAACCAAGUAAAGAUGCGAACUUCCGGUUUUAGAGCUCUCACGUUCCUUAAUUUUCUCCAUUGAUUUAAACGUAAGCCGAUCGAGCCAAUCUACACGUUGAAUCUGUCCUCUUUCGUAUUUAUUCAGAAGCUUCUCCAGACUCUCCAAUUCUCCACGCUCGUGCCUUGGGACCUGAUAGAGAAGCACAUCAGAUUCUAUUCCAGAUUGAAAAUUACAAGCAAAGGGGUAAGAAGUAACCUUUCCAGGUGUAGUAGUAGGAAAUGAUCCAUCAGCUUCUUUUCCCGACCAAAGCCUAAGCUUCAGCUUACCCGUUUUAAGUUGCAACUUACUGUUGAAAAGAGGAAUAGUAGCCCCACCAAUGAGCCCUUCGUCUUUUCCACGUGAAACAUCCCAAACCUGAAUUUUCCAAAUAGUUCAACAUCACCAGAAAUUUCAACUCCAGAUGAGGGAGCACAAAAGUGAAAAAAACUCUCUAUUGCCUGAUAAUUUGCAUUACAUUACAGGGCAAGUUCAAAAUCAUUAACCAACAGUAGGCAGUACAUGACAACAGGGGCACCUUCCAUCUCCAAACCAUUCAUCAAAACUACUUAAUUUCCACCAUCUACAGGUUUAAGUAGGAAUAGGUGGACCUUGUAGGAAGUUCCCUGACCAACGGGGCACAGAAGUGGAUAUACUUCAUAGAGAGCAGCUAAAUGAAAGAGGUUCUCAACUUACUGUCAACGCGAGCUGUGAGUAUCUACUCAGGUCCCUAUAUUUAGUACUCAAUGUGAUGAGUUCAUUCCAGCAUGCUGAGGUUCCAUUAGUCUCCAGCCUGGUACAAACGGGAAGGAAUGACCAGAAAUCCUUUGAGAAACUAAUCCAGAUAAUACAGAUGAUCCGGAACAAGCAAUGACAAAAGAAAAACUACAAAAUCACACUCAAGUCACCUUGUUCGCAUUGGAAGACCAAAGGGAGCUCCAUCCAUACACAGUACACACUCAACAUACAGCUCUGCUCUUCUCUCUUCCGUAGUGGAAUCAAGCCCUGAAGGAAACACCAGAACAAGAAUACUGUAACCAGAACUUGAACUAAGUUCAUGAUACCAGCGCAGCUCAUUUUUGUUCUCCGUAACUAGCAGAAACACUAGAUGAUCAAUCUAAACAUCUAGCAAAAACUGAAUCCAUCCGUUAUACUAAUACACAAGAACGAGCUGCAAUUUUCACCGAAUCGAGUUCAAAAUGCUAAGGCAAAGCUCAUUCAUGCAGAAUAAAAAAUUAAACAAAAGAGAAGGUAACCUGAGUCCGGCAAUUUGACAGGAGGCAAGGAUCCUUCCAAUCUCUCGAUUCGGAAUGUCACCGGGAGAUUGAUGUCGUACGAUAGGAAGAAUCGGAACUCGUUCCGGCUCAUUGAAUUUUCCAGCAAUUGCAGAAACCCCUAGGUUUCUUCCCCGGGACUGAAGAGUUGCUCCCAACCGAGUUGGAGCAAUCUGAGAGAACGGAAAUUUUCGAAUUCCGGCCGCCGGAAGUUUGGAGAGUUUAGUAAUUACUUGUUCUGUGUAUCUGUUGCAGCUGAAAUCCCACUGUGCUCCGUGUUGUUAAUCAAAGGGAAGAAGGAGCAAGAUUGAUUGAUGCACGAAACGAACACGAGAGGAUUUUGUUCCACGUAAGCAAUCGCCAUGUCAUCAGCUGUUGAUGGAAUUAUCUGGACCCGUUAAAAUUUCAGCCUGUUUAUAAGUGGGCUAGGCUAGAAGCCCAUGUUAGUUGGGAAUAUAUUCUGAUUCUGAAUAAGGAUUCAGAAUUUUUUGCAUUUUGAAGGCAGAAUCUCAAAUUUAAGGUGUGAUUUGGUGCAACACUCCACGAUCUCAUAAUCUCAAUCAACAAACUUAGUAUUUAUAAUCGAAAGAUAACAUAGAAUCACAACAUUCUAAUAUCUAAAUUCAUAAUAAUCAAAAUUCAAGGAUGAUCCAAACUUGUAACGUACAUUUUCUAAUUAUGUUUGCCCCUAUUAUGUCAUGAGUCAUGACCAAAUCGGAACAUCGAACGGAAUGAACAACAGUUGAAAAGUUGGAGAUUCAACACAUCUUCUUAAGAGCUAGACGGUUCAAUGCCGUAACAACUAAUACCGCAGACUAUCAUCCAUCAUUGUCAUUUCGAUAACGAAAACAACGAAUGAUCCUAUGGCUCCUAUUCAUAAGAGCUCAAACCAUCCUGCUAUACACAAAAACAAGUCUCCAAUCUCGCCCUCUCCAGUUCAGCUGAUGCUACUUACAAACCAAAUCUCAGCUUCUUACUAUCUUUAAUCAACCACAUUUUGCACAAACAUGGGUGGCUUCUCCACCUCUCCAUUUUGUGCCUCCACAUCCAUAGCAGAAAGCAGUCCCGCACCUGUUUCAUCAACAACUUAAAAGGUUUGUAAUAUAACAGGAAACAUAAAUUACUUGUAUUCUCUGUAGAAUGUUAGCCUCAAGGUUAGAAACCAAGUUGCAAAUGAAAUUCAUCAAUACCUGGAGAAACUUUACCAUUGGACACACUCUGUCUCUAAUCAUUUUAGCAAAAUAUAAGAUGGGCACAUCCAGUAAGUGGGAAGUUCACCAGUCCUAGUAUCAUCUGGAAAUCUUCCCACUUUCUAGCACCAUGAGACAGGAAGACACCUAACCUAACCCACAUGUUCUCAUACUCAGUAGAUUGUUUGCCCACCAAGGUUUGAGCGGAUGGCGGAACCAGGGGUGGCCGAACCUAGGCCACCAUCCAGGAUCCCUCGAUUCAAAGUGAGAAAAUUCUGUGUUAAAUUUUCAAAAUUAAAGUGUUUUACCACGAAUUUCGCCCAGCGAGCCUCUGUAAAGUUGAAACCCUGCUCAAGGUCUCCAACCAUCCUAAUUCUGCUAUUCAAGUCAACCCAGAAAGCUAAUGGAUGUUGAAGUCCCAUUAUAUGUCAUCUACUAAUAGUCUAAUACUAGUAUACCAGUUGGCAUUGCUAAGAAAGUUCGGAAAUUUGACAACCAACUCACAGAUGAUCACUCGCCAACAAGAGACAGUAAAACUGUACCUGCAUUUGAUGUAUCUGCAACCCACAAUCCUGUCAACGUAGAUUUUACAACUGGGACACCUCUUCCAACUCUUCUUACCCGCCAGAUUCAUCAGCAUAAUAUCUUCCUUCUCCCUCUCAUCCUUAUGCAGCUUCUGAAAAUUGUCGCAGUCAAUCUCCGAAUGCCAGGGAACUUUACACCGAGCACAGAACAACCUGCAGCAAUGGGGGCACUCGGAUUGCGUAACCACCUCACCUCCAUCGUCAACCAGCAUAGCUGAACAAUCCUUGAACGGACAGUAAAACUUCUGAGCACCCAAGAUCAAAGCCUCGCACAGGGAAUUCCCCCACCUGUCAAACACUUCCUGAGGAAGAAUCGAUCUGCAGUGCUCUGGCUCCAAAACCCCACCACAACCCGAAACAGGACAGCUGAUCAUCGACACAUUGUCCUGCAACUUCGAACCUACGUAUUUGGACAUACACUGCUUGCAGUAAGCGUGUGAGCAUCCUUUGAUCGGGAAAGACUCGUUUACCGUCUGCGCUUCCGCACAGAUCUCGCAGAGGAACUCUGCAUUCGGAUUCGGGUCGGGUUGGGGAGGGUUUGAGUUCGAGGCCUGACCCGGUUCGGUAGUGGAAUUAAAAACUCGAGAAAACGAAGGAGUGGUGGAGUGGAGCAAAGUGAUGUCGUCGUCGAACAAUGAGAGGUCGAUGAAAUUGCUGUCGCCAUUGAUGCCGGCGGCGAUUUGGAGAGAAGCUAGGAUUGCGAGGUUGAGGUCUCGGUCUUCGGCGUAGGUUUCGACUGAGAUCGGAGUUUUCUUGGUUUUGCCGCGGUCGGAGAUAGGCGUGAAGGAGAAGUAAUCGCCGUCGUCGUCGUCGAGGAGGUCGACAAUCUCGAUCGCCGAGGUCGACGGUCCGGCCAUUUCUUUUUGGCGGCGCGGCGGAGACUGGAGAGGGGUUUCCUUUGGGGUUUUGGAUUCACGUGUUACAGACUUACCGUGGAGGGGAAAGUCUAUGGAAAUUUCCAGGUCAUAUUUAGGGGAAUUAUUUUGGGAUAAAAAUUAUGGAAAAUUCAAAAUGUAGAAAGUGACGUGAAAAAUAUUAGGUGAUUUGAAAAUUUUGGAAUUUUUUUUAUGAUAAUAGUUAAUUUUUAUAGGUAAUUUUUGGAAAUUGAUCACUGUCGAAAUGAAAUUUUUUAAAUUAAUUAAUAUUUGACAUUUAUGUUGAAAAUGACUAAAAAUUGAUAUUUUACCAUGUUAAACCCUUUUAAUAAUACCAAAUAAAGUUAAAAACAUUUUCUUAAGGGUUUUUAUUAUUGUUAUUAGUGGAAAUGUAUGUGUUUUCGAUUACAAAAAUUUUUAUUGAAUAUACCGUAUACACAUAUGUCGAAGUCUCCACCAUAAAAAUAUUGACAUAUUAACAAAAUUAAAUGUUAUUAACAUACCACGAACCGAUUUACAUUACAACAACAUUCCGUACGUCUUUCCAUGUUUGAUACACAUUCUUCAAUCAAAGCACUCGUAGGAAUAUAUUAUCUUCAUCAAGCAAAUCAUCCAGUACAGAAUAUUUGUAUAACUCUAGUACAUAUAUGACACAAUGUGCAACCUACAUAAACUAUAUACUCAACACGAAUCGCGAUCGGUUUGGGGCCGGUUGCUUGUCGGCUUACCAAGUUGGAGGCAUUGAAUCGGAGGAACAGCCGGAGUGUUCAACUCUCCGAAUGUAUUCCAGCAGAACGGAUCGUACAUGUGGAACUUCUCUUGCAGCGGUUUCAACUCAAUGCUGGUUAAGCUUAUGUCCGCACAUGGUAAGUUGUCGCUGCAGGCGAAAUGCACGGGCUUCACCGUGUAGGUUCCUUUGAUUUGUUCGUAGUUGAUCCCCGAUACCGACACCGCUGAUGAUUGGUUCUUACAUGUAGCCUUGUCACAAUAGUAUUGGUCGAUUACGAUUGGGAAUUGGACUUCGGAAACUUGAAUGUUUGAGAACAUGAUCCCGUACACCGAGCCUGAUCCGCCCUGCGAGAUAACCAACUUGACUGUGAAUCUGUGACUGAGUGUAGAUAUAGCAAGUAGUGGAGAUUGGUUGAAUAUAUACCUGCCAUGUCUUGAUCCUAACACCGGUCAUUGUGUUGUGCAUGUUGACGUUUUUGACAGUGACGUUAGAGACGCAGGCUCGCGCAUUGUCCCUUCCCAAACUUCCGAUGCUGAUUCCGUGGCCUGGACCGCAGUUUACGUCAUGUAUGUAUACAUUUGAGCAUCCUGUUUGUAUGGAAAUGCAGUCGUCUCCUGCAUAAUUGAUGGAAAUAAUGUGUUAAUUCACAUGUGGUAUUUGAUGAAUAAAUAGGUUUAUUACUAUAUUAUCCUUAUAAAGCUCAAUUUCUAAUGAAGACAAUGAACGUGUUUGUGAGAUUUUUUUGUUAUAUGUUUUAUUGUAAAAUGAUGUUUUAUGUUUUAAAGUUUUUUGAAGUUGGAUGAUGUGGUAGCCUUAUAUUUAAAUUUUUAAUUAAUAAAUUAUGUAGGGAUUGGGAUAUUUAUUGGUAUUCGAAAUCCACGAGUUUGUGAUGCGUAUGAAUAUUGAUAUUCGGAUGGGGACGGGGAUGAAGAUGAAUUUUAUGAAUAGGUAUGUAGAUGGGUAUAGGUACUCCGCCCGAAUCCAGCCCUAUUGUCAAACUUAGUUGUGAAAAGGAAGAACAGACCAAUGGUAGUUUGGGGUUUAAAAAAUAAUGGAGUGUUAUGAAACCCACUAAUUCAAAUACCACAUCAACUCAAGUAUUUCAAAUACCACCAAAACCCACUAUUUUAAUACCUCAUGUCAAAUUACCAUCAAUUCUAUUUUGGAUGCUAAACAUAAUAUUUUGCCCCAAAUACCGCUUUCAAAUACUCAAUUCAAACGAUCUGAAAUUACCAUAAUCAAUGUAAUUACCGCAUGCAAGGAGGCUGCUAUGGAUCAGCACAUCUCUGGAAUUCUGCAAGUGGACUCCAUCUGUAUUAGGACUAUCUCCAGGAGACGAGACUCUAAUAUGAUGUACCAUCACUCCAAUGCAGUUGUCAAACUUGAGGUGGCAUUGUGGACUGUUCUGAAUCGUUAUGCCUGUCACCGUCACAUUCACACUUCCAUAAAACCUCAGUGCCUGCAAGAGAACAAAGCUUAUGUCAAUCCUAGUACAAACUACAUGAUCAUUCACAAAAUUCAUCAGUAAGCUAAUCCUUACCGUUGGCUUGAUGCUUGGCAUUUUGCUACUGAGUUCACUUCUUACCUGCCAGAAGAAUUUUUCGGAAUGAGAAUCUGCAGUUGAUGCUCCUACAAAUCGAAGGUGCAUCAACUAAUAAUUAGUUACCGUUCGUGGUGGUUGCUUCUCUAGAGUGCUGUUUAACAGGAUAAUCUGCUGCGUUAAUCCGUCUUCGAGUACAUCGAUUGGAUUGUCUUGCCACCACACUGAACCACUCCCAUCAAUGGUACCUUUCCCUUGGAUUGUGAUCUGUGCUAGCUUGCUGAAUUCCAGCCACUGCAGCAAUCCUUUGCCCCAAACGUAGGAGUUCGUUGGUGCAACAAUUGUGCCAUCCAGCUACGAAAGGUAAAGGGAGCUCAGAAGUGUUAAGCUGCGAAUUCUCAACCUCCAGUGGAACGGAAAUAUUAUCGGUUUGAUACCUGGAAGGUGAUGCCUUGCUGACAGUAUGGACCAGAGAAAGAAAUAGGUCCAACAAGGAAUCGAUGUUGCUCUGGAACAAGCAUAAUUGAAUUUGCAACUUUGCAAGCAGCUGCCCAUGCACCCUGGAAUGCCUGAAAGACAAAAUCGAAUCGUAAAAUUGUAAGAUUUCAAGGCAUAAGUAUGUGGAAUAACUCUACUCAUAUGAAGAUGACAUUCAAAUGGACCAAGCAGAAUUAUCCGUCUGUUCAUCUACGUAUGCUAUGGUAUAUCGAGACGAAAGCGAAAAGUAAAAAGUUCGACGAGUAGGAAAAACCGAAACCUUUGUGUCAUCGCUCUUUCCAUCUCCCUUGGCACCAAAGUUGACGACAUUGAAUGUCAACGAAUCUGCGUGCGGCCUAGUAGGCGAAGGAGGUUCCGGUGAUGCUACUGGAACAUGCUUUGGUGGUUUCAUCGGAGACGGGGAAUUAGGAGCUAUAGGUGAAGGAGCUUUCUUUGGCGACUUUGACGAUCUGCCGCCAUUGUAAUGGUUGUUACUAUGGUGGCUGCUUCCAUGGCUUUUGACCUUCUUCUUUGUCAGAGAAGCUGAAAACCCUCUGUUCUGCCUCCAAUGCUUGCCUCUCCUUGCAAUGCAAGUAUCAAAACUUGCUGACCAAACUAGAAACGCAACCAACACCAUGAAUGUGAAGCUUCUCCGGUUCACCCCUUCCAUCUUUGCUGUGGGAAAACAGAGAAAUGGCUAGAGUGUUUAUAUAGUGUCUAUGUAGAAGCUGUAGAAAACAAUUGAUUUACAUGAGCAAUAAGAUGAUAGUGGUUUUCUCUUAUAUCAAUGAUAAGGAAGUUGUAUGAGAUGGUAUUUAAUGUUCAUUCUUUUGUCCUUUUAUCUCUGUUUGGUUUCUGGUCCUGUGAAUUUUGGUUGGGCAGAUUAUAGGCUGCUAGCUAGACAGACAAACAUCAAAGUGAAAGGGCUGAUUUCAGAGGCCACUUGGCGUUGUGAUGUUGCAUGUGACUCGUUCAAAAUAUUUCCUUGCUUUGUCCAAACAUUAGUGUAAUUUUAUGAACACGUUGCUUAUGGUUUAGCAAAUUAUUUAUCACAGGCUUUGUAGCAUUUGCUAUAUACUUAACAAACAAACCAGCAGGAUAAACACAAGUAGUUUGCCUGCAUAUUCUGGAAAGUUACACCAGUUUUCCCUCCCUUCAUUGAUUGAUUUCCAACUUCUUUAAGCUUAUUUCAUGUGUGAUUACUGCUAAAUGUUACUUUACGAAGAACUAACCGCUUAAUCGAUUAGGAUUUGCAGAUUGCUGAGCUUGAUUUGUUGAACAAGACCCUGAAUCCUGAUGACACAGUGGCUGGUAUUGACCGAAAAUGCUAUUGAUCCGAUAGCCUUUUCUUUCUAAUCAACCCGAUAGAUUUGGCCGUUGGAUCAUACCACUUUUAGGUUAACUUUCAUCCAAAUGGAAAAAAUCACAUUAGUGUGGUCAUUGUACGAGCAUGUUAUGUCAUUAAUACGACCAUUUUACAGGCGCGUUAGGUCGUUGUUAUAUCUACCUUACGAGUAGUUGAAUUCAUCAUCGAUACAUCAUUAUUGCAUUAUUGUAUUGACAAAAACAACUUUGGACCGUUAAAUUUGCCAUCGGAUUAAUAAAAAAAGGCUUUCGGAUCAAUAGCAAUUUCGCAAUACAUUAUAACUCGAGCCAUUAAAAUAAGUUGCAGAGAAAACACACGUGAGUGGGUCUAGAAAAAAAGAGAGCACUGACUAGAACCAGAGUAUUAUCAUCACAUGCAUAAAAAAAAAUUACUCACGGGUUGUAGUAAUUGUUUCCUUUUGUCCUCUCCGCACCUUCACCCACCAUCCUUUUUUUCUCAACUCCAAUCCUUUACUUCUUUCACAUUCCCAUCUCUUAGGGUUUAGAGUUUAGAUUCUCUCCGGAUCUUAAUUUUUCGUGGCUAGUAUAAUUGAAUAUAAUGAUGAGUUUUUUUAUACGACAAAGAAUAAGCUAGAUUGUGUCUACCCUUCGAAUAGUCUAGUUAAGCUAGAUUUAACAACCCCAACAAAUACCUACGGGUAGAGCCGCUUGAUACCGACACUCUCAUCUAGACAAGUGAUGUGUUGGGGGACUAAAAAUGGCUCUUCGUUGGUAUAGCUGCCUGAGAAAGAGAACAAAUGGCCUUCCCUAUUUCCUCUCAUUGUAAUACAUUGAUACUCUGGCGAUGCAGAUCUUUUUUCUCAUUGUUUUCCUCUGUGCAGGGUUCAGACUUCAGAGAUCCUUUUUUGUUUCUGUGUGUUUUCUGAUCUCAGUGUUUCAAAAUCAUACCAAAAGAGGACAAAUGAGUACUGAGUUGUUUCUAAAGACACAUGAUUACAAAAGAGUUGCAGCAGCUCGUUGCUGUAAGUCGUACUAUGAGCAACAGAAGCCAACUGAAUACAGUUAAAACCUCCAUUGCCAUCAGCCCAUGGUUUUGCUAAAGGUCAUUUCUUUCCCGUCAUCUCGCCGCUACAGCCAAUAAUUGCUAAUGCACAUAUAUUAAGAAAUCAUGUCCUUUUCUCUAGUGAUUGCAGGUAAAUGUUUGGCUCCGAAAACUAGGCCUUGAACUGCCCGAUAAUCAUGGCUGAGUUGGGAGGUGUUGUAACUUGUAACAGGGUUAUAAUCAUCGUUCUUGUGAGAUUGUUAAUUUUUGUGAAACGUUGAAUUGGGAUGGGAUUGUCAAAGUUUGGGCAUACUAACGGGGAAGACAGCUAGACCUCAGACAUUGUUUAUUCAUCGAUCUGUUUUCGUUAUGUUUUAAUUUUAGAUCGAUUGUUAUCUCAUAAUUGAUUAUAUUAUGUAUGACUUGCUUGGAGCUUUCGAACCUCAUUAACUUGUGAAUGAAAGAUGGGCCAUGGGGAUUUAUGAAAAAGGAAGACAAACUUUUGUUGGAUGAUGCUAAUUCAUUUGAAAAGAUUUUGAUGUGUUCGAUCCAUAUCAUGAUGACGAUGUAUUCUCUACUAUUUAAUAAUUGAACUUUAUAUUUUGUCGGGAACUAAUAAUUUGGUACUAUUUGGUGAUAUGCUCUUUCGGGCUAUUAUGAAAAUGUUUGUAUUUUGAAUUAACAUCAAUUAUCAAUCUGAAUUUCUUGGUUGAAGAUCGAUAAAAAUUGCAAAAAAUAGCUUCAUUAUCACACUAAAACACAAAAUUGAAAGAUCCUUCAUACAGGUAACCAAAAUCAAAACCGAGAUUUUUGCUAUCCGGUUUGAUAAGUAAAUUCAUUGAAAACUGACUUUGGUUUCGGCCCAGCCCACGUACAGCUAGGCCCAAAUCGAAAUUCUGGACGAAGCUUCUCCCCCCGCUAAGUUCCUCCGUUUUGAUUCGCGCCGUUGUCGUCGAGUUCCACUGAGAAAUGGCCGAUCAUACUUCCAUUUCUCUCUGAAUUAGCUAUGGCCACCAGAUUCCUCCUUCCUCUCCGCCGUGCUCAUCUCCGCUUUCUCUCUUCUUUCGCAGCCGUGGAGACAAUUCAAACCGAGCCCUUGCCGGAGCUGGUAAGCCAGAUAUCUCGCCUCCUCAGCGACCACCGGAACCCUCACCACGACUUGGAGCGCUCCCUCCGUACGUACCGCUCUAAACUCUCCUCCGAGGUAGUCGAGCAGGUCUUGAAGCGAUGCAAGAAUCUCGGAUUCUCCGCACACAGAUUCUUCCUCUGGGCCAACACCAUUCCCGGGUUUCAACACACUCCCGAUAGCUUUCACAUUUUGGUCGAUAUUUUGGGUGCCAGUAGGCAGUUUGCUAUACUAUGGGAUUUCCUGAUCGAGAUCAGAGAUUCUGUUUACAGUUUUCAAGUUAAAGCAGAGACAUUUUGGCUUGUCUUUAGAGCUUACAGCAGGGCAAACCUGCCCGAUGAAGCCAUUCGAAGCUUUGGGAGAAUGAGUGAGUUUGAUUUGAAUCCCAGAAUCGAAGAUGUGGAUCAGCUUAUCUAUGUUCUAUCCAAGCGUAAGCAAGUGAAGCAAGCACAGGCCUUUUUUGAUCGAGUUAAGCAUGAAUUGGAGCCAACGGUUAAGACUUACAGCAUAUUAGUGCGCGGGUGGGGUGAUGUUGGGGAUAAUAAGUCUGCAAGGAAGGUGUUCGACGAAAUGAUACAAAGAGGUUGUGCGGUGGAUGUGCUUGCCUACAACAGCUUGUUGGAGGCGUUAUGUAAAGGAGGGAGUGUAGAUGAAGCUUAUAAUAUGUUUGGAGAAUUGGGAUCCGUAGGAAUCAAGCCUGAUGCUUGUAGCUAUGGGAUCUUCAUCCGUGCUUACUGCGAAUCGGAUGAUAUUCAUUCUGCUUUUGGAGUGCUUGAUCGGAUGAGAAGGUAUGAACUUCUACCGAAUGUGUUCACGUAUAACUGCCUGAUCAAGAAGCUAUGUAAAACCGAUUGUGUAGACGAAGCUUACCAGCUUCUGGAUGAGAUGCUUGGGAAGGGAGUGUCUCCGGAUAAUUGGAGUUAUAAUGCGAUAUUAGCGUACCAUUGCGAGCAUACCGAGGUCAAUAGAGCUACCAACCUGGUUUCUCGAAUGGCUAAGGACGGUUGCUCGCCUGACCGGCAUAGCUACAACAUGGUGCUUAAAUUGCUCAUAAGGAUGGGUCGGUUCGACAGGGCUACUCAGGUAUGGGAAAGCAUGGAGGAGAGGAAGUUUUUUCCGUCAGUUUCGACCUAUGCGGUUAUGAUCCAUGGCUUGUGCAAGAAGAAGGGGAAGCUUGAAGAGGCGUGCAAGUAUUUCGAGUUGAUGGUUGAUGAGGGAGUUCCACCAUACUCUUCCACUGUUGAGAUGGUGAGGAACCGGCUUAUGGGGUUUGGACUGAUGGAUAACAUUGAGAUACUUGCUGGUAAGAUGGAAAGAAGCUCUUGUUGUUUGAUACAGGAGUUGGCUAUUGAAAUGAGAGGGAACAAGACUCAUGUGCGGUCUAGAAAGGAAGAAACCGAGUCUGAAAGUGAUUGAUUGCUGAAACCUCCACGACACGGGUGCACUUUUCAGGUAAACCCUCGUACUUUUUGGUGCAUAUUUGAAUUUGACUGUGAAUAUCGAUCAGAAAGGCAAGAAAGCUUCAUACUUUAGUGGUUUUGUGAUGCUAUCUAACGGAUAUUAUGUUAUGAUACUAGUUUUUGUAUAGGCAAAAAGAGCUUAGAGCUCUGUGUGGACAAAGUCCUGACUGGUGGCUUCUGAAACGUCAACAAUGUUCAUGUCUCUGGUAAACUGUGGAUUGGAUGUCGAAGCGUAAUCCUUAUCGUGCGAUGAUAGGCAGUCGACUGAAGGACGAACGAUGCCAUAUGCAGACCCUUCGGCGGAGUUGCAGUAAGUCUCCACAGUGCCAUCUCUUCCUUCUAAGUUGACAUUGAUUAGGACUAUGUCGCUGCAUGGAACCGUAUCGCUGCAAGCAAACUUCAUGGCUUUUGCACUCUUGGAAGUUCCGGUUAUGUUUCUGUACAUGAUCUUGCUUAUCUCCACAGCUUCUGUCUGAAAAUAUUGAAGUUAGAGAAAAUCGAAAUGGAAGAUUGGUCAAAGGCUCUGACUGUUAGUACCUGGUUCUGGCAGGCAUUCGGUGAAUCACAGUAGAACUGGUCGAUGAUGAUAGGAUUUGCAACAUUCUCCAUCUGGACAUUGUCAUAACGAACUCCGCGAACAUGCCCAUUACCACCCUACACCAGAGAAUCAACGGUUAGAUCAGAGAUUUGAGCUUGGGAUUCACCGUAAGGUGCGGUGGUUACCUGCCAUGUCUUGAUUCUGAGGCCAUUAGUCGUGUUCCGGAGGAGCGCUGUGUUUAGGAUAACUCCCGUGACGAUCCCGGUUGAGUUGUCCUGUCCAAGGCUCCCAAUGCUAAGCAGGAAAGAAAACAUCAACAAGUGCUUGAUUAAGCAUAAGCCCGGAUUAUUCUGAAUUAUUUUCUCCCUUUUUGACAUAGAAAUUACCUGAUACCGUGUCCCGGUCCACAGUAGAGUCUCUUCAUCCUGAUGUUGGAACUACCAUUGACGAUGGAGACACAAUCAUCCCCUGAACGUGUAAGUGGAAAAGUUCUGGAAUUAGCUAAACUACAUUCUUAUCUCAUUAAAGAUUGUUACUUUCUUUUCACAGCGGGGAACCUGUUCCGAUUUUGCAGUUUUGGAGAACAACAUCAGUCGACUGAGUAAUGUGGAUCCCGUCUGUGUUGGGACUGUCUCCAGGAGCCGAGACUAACACAUCAGAGACUCGGACUGAGCUGGAUUUCGAGAUCACGAAAUUCAUCUGUUGGCUGUUCUUGAUGGUCAACCCUUUGACUUUCACUCCAGUGCUGGAAUCAAUGGUUAAUGCCUGAAAAAAAAGAUCAUACUCCGUAAUGCCUCGAAAGUUUCAUAAAGCUGUUAGUAAAAUUCAGUUAAAAGCCUCUUACAGUUGGUGCUGCUUUGCAAGGCUGCAUGAACAGAGAAAGGAAAAAACAGUGUAAGAUUUACUUCUGUUAUAUAUAAAGAACAAAAACAAUUAUGGUUUAAGAGAUCAAAUGAACUUGCAUUUGUCUUGUUCUUUUUACAGGAAGCAGCCCACCAUUUACUGCCAGAGCCAUCAAUGACUCCAUUCCCUUGGAAGACAACCCCAUUCAGCUUACUGAAAUCAAGCCAUAAUCUCGCAAGAUCUUGAUUCCAGCUCUCCGGUUCGUCCGGUGCUAUUAUUGUUCCAUCAAUCUGAAAAAAUCAUAUCGUCUGUGAAAUGCUUGAUGAAACUUGAUCAUAUGCAGUUAACUCUGAUUAUCAUCGUUACCUGGACAAUCAGCUUAUCACCACAAGGUCCUUUGAAUUUCGUCGCAGCUACCAGAUAUUGGCGACCUGGAGGAACCAAGAACACUGCGUUGGAUGAUGCAUUACAGGCAGUGCUCCAAGCUUUUACAAAGGCCUGAGUGUCAUCAGAAACUCCAUCUCCAGCAGCACCGAAGCUAUCGACAUUCACCAGAACCUUGCCACUCCGUUCGCUCCUCCACGACAUAACAUCGCAAUCAUCAUCGUCCACUUCUUCGUGUUCUUCCAAGGUUUCGAGCUUCUCAAGAGUUGUGAGUUCGUCAUAUAGAAUGUUGCCUGCAACUCCAUAGGUCACUAACAGCAAGCCAAUGAAAGAAAUGAUGAAUAACCUGUCCAUGACUUUUGCUUUUUCUUUUUCUUUUUCUGUCUGGUUUUCAGAACUUGAUUUAUUUUGCAUAAUUCCUGGAAAACAUAUAGUUUCAAUUUAUAUGAAGCAGAUAAGAUUGAUUUAUGAAAGUGCUUUGUGGACUAAUUAGCUUGGCUUGAAAGUACAUGAAGAAACCAGCCUGCAUUUUCUUACAUGCCUAUACUUAAAGAACAAGUGAAAUGGUUUUUUUAAUGAAAUUCUUUGCUUUACUCUGCAGCCAGUGGAAAGAGACCAUUCAAUUUCUACCAGUUUCUCAACAUAAGAACAUUCCAAUUGUAGUACAGAUCACAGACUUGUCGAUUUGCUGGUUCAUCAAGUUGCUAGUUAAUAGAAUUGCUAAUAGUAAGCUCUUGGUCGAGGGUUUCCCCCAUCAGUCGAAUUGUUGGUUCAUAAGGUUACAAGUCAUUAGGAUCAUAACUAGUUAACUCUUAGUGCUUAGCUCAUCAGGUCGCAAGUUCGUCCAUUUGAAGCAGAUCAUUGGUUUAUCAAGUGGCAUGACAGAAAUUCAAAGUCGACAGGUCGAGUCAGCUUAACAGUUUCCAGAGAUCUCGAAAUUCAUGCAAAACCCAGUACAAGUGUCCCGAAAAGUCGCCAUCUUUUCACCAUACAGAGAGGUCUGUAACUGGUUUUCUGUAAAGGUCUGUAACUGUUUUUUUAAGAAGAUGCAUGAUUAAAGAGCUUUCGGAGAGUAAAAGAUGCAAACUUCGUUCUGAAUCGAACAGGAAAACCACCAUGAAGCCAAAAAUCAAUGCACUCAAGAUCAUAUCUCCAAUCAUCCAAAACAGGGAACUCUUAUCAAAAUUUCAAUUCAUUUGCCAACUAAUUAUACAGAAACAGAAUCCAACCAUUUCAUAGAACUGAACAUCCCCUCUUAUCAGAAUUCAAUUCCACAAGGAUUUACCUCAUAAAGGAUCGGACUUGGCCUCUGAAUCCUAAUUACAAACUUCACCGACUAUUGAUCUUCCGCAACCAAGCAACACAAAAACAACAAGAGCAACAAUAACAAACUACCAGAAGGAAAUCUCAAUCUCAAUCAAGCAGUGAUCAUGGUACCCAACCCUUCCUCCGACAUAAGCUCGUGAAGCAACGAGUGCUGAACCCUACCAUCGAUAAUGCUUGCAGUUCUCACCCCCUGAGAAAUCGACCUCACACAGCAAUUCACCUUUGGUAUCAUCCCUCCAGCAACCUUCUUCUCCUCUAUUAGUUUAUGCACCCCUUCAAUGUCCGUCUCUUUCACCAAACUCUCAGGGUCGUCUCUGUCCUCUAGUAUCCCCGCCACGUCGGUAAGCAAGAUCAGUUUCUCAGCUCCUAGCGCCGCCGCCAGCUCUCCCGCCACCGUGUCCGCAUUUAUGUUGUACGACUGCCCCAUCUCGUCCGCCGCCACUGACGCGAUCACCGGGAUGUGACCGUUGUUGAUCAGCGGGCGCAGCAUUGUCGGGUCGACCCGAUCCACGUCUCCCACGAAUCCCAAUUGGGCCGAAUUAGGGUUCGGCCUUGCCAUCAGCAGCCGCCCGUCCAUACCGGACAGCCCCACGGCGGUGCCGCCUGCCUUAUUGAUCAACGACACCAAAUCCUUGUUCACCUUUCCCACCAGAACCAUGGACACGAUCUCCAUUGUCUUGGCGUCGGUCACUCGGAGACCUUCGUGGAAGAGGGGCUCGAUGUUGAGAAGCUUCAGCCAGUGGUUGAUCUCCGGGCCGCCACCGUGGACCAGGACCGGACGGAGGCCGACGCAGGACAGAAGGACGAGGUCACUGACCACAGAGGCCUUUAAGUCCGGGUCUUUCAUGGCUGCACCGCCGUAUUUGACGACGAUGGUUUUCCCCCUGAAUUUCUGGAUGUAGGGUAGGGAUUCGGAGAGGAUCUCCACCCUGAACUGCUCGGGGGAUUUGGAGGAGGAAGCUCGUAUGGUUGAUGAACAGCGAUGAUGAUGGCGGGGUUUAAGAGUCAGAUAAUGUGGUGAUGAGGAUUUGCAGAGGGUUGAGGGAAUUAGGGAUUUGGUCGGAGGGUUGAAGAAGAUUGCUUUAGAGGCCGCCGCCAUUUUUUAUUUUCUGCAGCAAAUCAAAUUUCUGAUUGUUCGCCGGCCGCCGAUUGAUUAAGAAGAAUUGAAGGACGAAUUUCUGAGCUCUCGUAUUGGCCGGGUCGGGGGUCCAUCAUUUAUCUGGGCUUCAAAUUUGUGGGCUUUUUCCAGAUCUGGAAAGUGAACGCUGCUGCAGUUUCCCGCCGACGUACCUAAAAUACUGCAUUUCCCGCCGCCGAUAGUACCAAAAGUGUCGCCGGAAUCAAAACAAAAUUCAAAAUCGUUAACCGGAGAGAUCUAUCCAUCCAUCCAAUGCCUCGCUACAAAGACGAGCCUACCGCGGUUCGCGUUUAUACAGUCUGCGACGAAUCAAGGUCUGAUCGGAAAAAUCGUCCGAUUCACAAAAAGUCCGACUCUUUUUAACUUCAUUCGUUAUAGGUUCUGCAGAUACUUAAUCGUAAGGAACGUACCUGCUCUGGGUUGCGGCGACGACUUAUCGAAGCUAUUCGCCACCUACGGCGACGUCGAAGAGUAAGUUAGAAAGCUUUUCUCUUCUUCCCUUCCCUUCCCAAUCCAAAAGGUCAAUUUUUAAUUGUAAUUUUUUUCUUAGAGUGAAACCGAUGGAUGAAGAGGAUUGCGAGCCGUUCACAGACGUCUACUGGAUCAAAUUUCGUCUUGCUAGCAAUGCCAGGUUGGGAAUUUUUAUUGAUUCUGAUUGGAGUAAUGAUGAUCAAGACUGAAAAUGAGUGUUAUAUGUUUUAAGGUUUGCAAAGAGGAAGUUGGAGGAUAGUACAUUCUUAGGGAACAGGUUGCAAGUUGAAUAUGCUCCUCAGUUUGAGAGCCUUACAGACACCAUGGAUAAGCUAGAAGGGAGGAGAAAGGAAGUUCUUGCUAGACUGAAUCGUGAGCUAUGCUUUGAAAUUCUUUACUCAGUUUGAAAUUCUUGUUUCCGUUGUGUUGUUUAAUAACAAUUCAGUCUUUCUGGUGGUUAUUUGUCAGCUGGACGAUCUCAAGGAGCCAAAGUUCUUACUCAAGGUGGUUCUAGUACUGUUUCUCCUCAGCCAUUGAAUCUCAAUCAGUCCUGGUAUGCAUUCGAACAAUGGAUAAAGCUGCUUUCUUCUGAAUUCUGACACCAUGAUAAGAUCAAAUGUUAUCAUGUAUUUGAAGUGCUCGAGGAUCGGAAGGGAGUUUGCAGAGAAAUGAUGCACCGAUGUCAAGGGUUUCUUCUGAUAAGGUUUUUGUUCUGUGUUAAAAAUGUUACUAGCUCUGCAAAUCCUGCUCUUGGUUGGCCUGUGAAUAGCAUCAUUAACUCGGCUUUCUUUGCAGGACUACUUUCCAUCUCGAUCCAUGAACGAGACCGUUAAAUCAGUUAGGGAGAAGCUUGAUAAGGUAUGUGAUUCUGUUGGAAAUGUUUCGAGUAUAGAGAGUAGAAUAAAAGACUGAUGUUUCUUCCUGCCUUUGCAGAUAGAGUCAAGCUCACAGCAGCAAGCAGGACCUGCAGCUAAGAAAACUAGAUUGGACAACAGAAGACGGAUUUAGAUUCGCUAGUACCAUCAAAUUGAAUUAAAUCUGUAAUUUUGUUGAUCAGAGAUACAGAUAUUGAAGAGCUAUUUCUUGCACAUUAUUGCUGCAGACAUUGUACAGUUAGCUCAUAUAGGUAGAGCAACCAAACCAAAGUUUAUUGAAUUAGUUUGCAGAGCAGCAGAGGCUUCAUUUUGUAAUUUUGCUUCCUUUGGUAGAGCUUCUUCAUAGUUUAUAAUGAUAUCCAUAAGUUUCCACACAAAAUUCAGAACAUGGAUAAGGAACAGAACUCAGAAAUCCAUUUUCCCAAAAUAAACAAGGUCACUCAUACAAACUUCUGUGUCUUCGCUUCAUUUUUCUAUCUCCAAAUUUCUGUUUUGUAGUUUAGAUUUGAAUUUCAGUUUCUGUCAUAAUUUACGACAAGUAUACUUGGACGCUGGUAGUUUUGAUCAACUGGCAUACAGGGCAAACAUUGAUAAACACAUCACAAUCCAUACAUAAACACAGAUGCCUGCACGGCAUCAACAGUACCGAAACCUCCUUUGCUUUGCACGAUCUGCAAGUAGUCAUCCGCUCUUUUCUCGACAUAGGUCUCGUUGAAGGCCCGACAUUGAGGUAGUUGUUGUUGGGAUCAAUGCAGGAAGCAGCAUCAUCAAACUCACUGUCUCCGAAUCCUUCCUUCACUUGAUCAGCACCCUGAGAAAUCGCCUGCUGGAGAUUGGUCUUGAGGACAUUCACGAGCGAUUCGUUGUAUUUCGCUCUAUAAUGCCAAUUCUGAGCUUCGGCAGCCACUUGCUUGAUUCUGUCGAUCAACUCUUUGUUCCGACGGUUCAUGUUGUCAAUCUCUAUGUCUUUCUCACGAAUCUUCUUUGCAACGCCCUUCUCGAUCGAUGCUAGAAACGAUGCCACAUGUCUCUGCUUGAUGUCUCUCACACCCUUAGCCAAAUGCUCCUCCUGAUCCAUCAAAUGAAAAGACCAUGAAAAAAACAGUACCACCCAGCGAAACGUUUUAAUCAACUCAAUUGCUAUUAGCCACCCUAACAUUCGAAUUUCAUCGCCCAAAUUAAACAAUCGGCCUUGCAUCUAAAAUCAACAAAAAAAACUUGCAAUCUCCGACUAAAACCAAAGUCUGAGAUAUUUUUUUCGAACUAUAGUCAGAGAUUUAAUUGGUAUUGCUAAUAUUUCACUAGGUUGCUAAUAAUCAAUCAUUCACAAUGAGGUCACUGUAUCCAUAAACAAUUACCUGAAGUUUGAUGUACUGAUCGAAUUCCUCUUUCUGGCGAUCGAGUUCAGUCCGGAUAUUGUCCCCGAGCGACAAGAUCACAGACGGUGCUGCUGCCCUGCUUCCACUAGCAGAAGGAAGAGACGACAUUCGCUCAUCCUCGUACUACAAUCCCUGAUUCGUUUAUUCGGUUGGAGCAUAGGGGAGACAUGCUCGCGUCCAAAAUAGUUCACGGCAUCAACGUUACAUCCAGCUGGCACUGAAACCCCGCAAUGUACGUUACUAAACCAGCAUAUCAUGUUUCCCAAUAAGUUCAAGGUGAAGAUCAACACUCUUAUCUUUAUUAAAGACUAUCUUUACAGAACGAAAGCAGUAACUCACAAUUACCAAAUAGCUGGAGCUGAUUUGAAGGGUUGUUCUGGUAAGGAAUUCGGUUCUCGUCCAAGAAAACAGGAAGCAUGGGAUUGCCACUGUUGCCUCCAAGCAUUUUUCGUAUGUAUCAUAAACUUUAUAGACUUCUAGUUAUGUACGAAGGAGAUUCAAAACCUGCCAGAAGAGCAGAACAGGAAUAGUAAGCAAUCCAUUUCGUGAACAUUGACGAAUAUAGUUCUUGAGUUGUAAGAUACAAUUUUUCAAUUAAAGCUCGACACUUUCCAUAUAAACAGUCUAUAUCGGAGAGCAGAAACACGUGUCUAGGCACAAAUGAGGAAUGUUGAGCAAGGAUCGAGCCUAAACCAAUCAAAAGUCUAGCUUUUGUCGAAACCAGAAUCUUCAUACAACUUUAAAUGAAUUGAGUGAGCCUUAUAAGCUUACUAUCAGUAGCAGAAAAAAUUCCUAACUUAAAGUAAUUGAGGGAAUAUCCAUUAUCCACCAUGACAAGAAAUCAGACACAACAUUCGCACUUGGUAACUUUACCCAACUGCAUUAGAGAGACGUUACAAAGAACGAAGUUGCAUCCAAUAAACGUAUGAUCCUUAAUGCGCCAUGAGUGAAUUAACAACCUAACCCAUGCACCAAACAUGGAGUUUGUGAUGCACAGCAACUCCACAACUAACAGGAAAGCAGCCAAACAACACACUAGAAGCACAAUGGCAGUGAACAGAUUAACAAAUUUCCAGUAACACAAGGCAAACAAUACUGAGAUCACUCAAAUUCAAUGCACACUGAUGGAGUGAAGCAGAUCGGUCUUCAAAAAUCAAAAGGAGAAAGCAAAAUCCUCAGAUUAUAGCUCCACUGAAGUAGGCUAGUAGGAUCACUCCAAUAAGGGUUUUCCAGAAACGGACCAACUUCUCUCAACACAAAUAUGAGGCUGAUGAGUCAAAAAUAGGAAUGCAAAUGACAAAUUCGGCAAAAAAAAUCUUAAGAACCUGAAAGAUUAGAUCUUCAUCAAUAACUCAAUAAAAAUCUCUCAACCCCAUAAUUUCAUCAAACACCAAAAACCAACAAAAAUUGAAAUAAAACAAACGGCGAGCUUGAAAUUUGAAUCCAUCAAUGCAAAUAAAGAGUAAAAGCCAUGAAAGUACCUCAAAAGUAUCAAUCAGGAUUGAUUAAGCUCCACCAGCAGAUCCUACAAAUUUCAUAACAACAGCUUUAUUAAUCCCUAACGAACAACACAAGGAAAUCAUGAACAACCAAGCAAGAGCAAACCCAGAAACCAAAAUGUUCCUAACAACAAUCCACAACAAACAAAAACCAUGAACAACCAACCCAGAUGAACAAGUGGAGAAGUGGGGAAAAGAUGAAACCUUUGGGGUGGAAAAAGGCACGAAACCCGAUGGUGAUCGGAUGAUUCUUCUGCAAUAGAGAAAUGGGUGUGGGGGGGUAUGGUGGUGGUAGAUAGAAAUAAAGGCGGAGAAGGUGAUGAAGAAGAUGGUGCGGUGAGAGUGGGAGAGUUGAUAGAGAUGAUGAGAGAAAACGGACGAAAUCAAAUGCGCUCUCUGCACACACAAGUAAGAAACGAAAAGUUUGGUUUAAGUAAUUUAAUAAAUAAAUAAUGAUGGUAGAGGAGGAAGGAAGAGACGGUAAGAAGGGAAGGGGGGAAGUGGGUAGAGGAGGAAGUGGAUAGAGGACCGUUUUCACUUCCUACAACCCUACUUCACAUUCAAUCCAUAUAUAUUAUUACGGAACUAGCGAAUGAGUUUAUAAUUUUUCGAACAUCUUUAUUUUACAGUUUAGUUUUAGAGUUGAAUUUUAUCAUACAAAAAAAGAGUUGAAUUCUAUCCAAAAGAUUGUAAUAGUUGAUUAGAGCCUAAUGCACCCCGAUUUACAUUUAAUGGCGAAGCGAUCUGAAGAAACAGAAUAGGUCGUUGUGGACAUCAGUGUGAGAAGCAUGGCAACAUGUACGUUAUGUACCUAAUUAUGUAUUUAUGUACAACAUCGUCGAGUUUUGAAUUAACAUGUUUGUUUAUAACAUCUUAGACAUACUUUCCUUACAAACUAGUAUUUGGAGAUGAGUUCUAUCCAAAUUUUUAUAACAUGAUAAAUUAUAAGUGAGUUCUAGUAUUUUUGAAUGAAACGGUAAGACGGGGAACCCACAUAAUUCAAUUGAUUAAACUAUUAAUAUAAAUAAUUUUAUGAAAUUAAUUUAAUUGAUAAACCUCGUAACAUAUAGUCAAUUGGUCAAACUAUUAUUAUACGUGAGUUUUUUAGAAUAAACCGACAAUAGAUCGUAUCAUAUGAUUAGAGAUUAUUAUUAGAGAUUAAUGUUUAAGAUUGUACCCAUAAGACUAACAAUAUAUUAUUUAUAAAUGAGUUGUUAAGUGAAUUGUUAAGGUUGAGUUCAAUCUUUUCUUAUAACAUUAAAAUCCCGGAAUAAGAAGAUCUCUUGAUUUGAUUUUAAGCAAACUUAAUCAUCGAAACCAAACAAACCCUAAUACUUUAGUUUCAAAUUCAUGCAUCAUAGCUAAGUAUUCAUUUUUCUCCCUUAAGCUAACUACAUAAGAUUAGUCUGAAUCACAUGUAACAGUGUAUUUAGCAAUAAUAUAGAUAUGAUCAACUAAUUAGAGUAGCUUUUGAAUUUGCAUCAUUGUGUUAUAGUAAUUUGGAGGUGUUAAUAGAGCUGGAAGUUUGGGUAACGGGUAUCGGGUAUUUCCGAUUCUGUUCAAUAUCCGAGCAGGAUUUGUAUAAACAUCAUGUUAAGCAUAUAAAUAUCAAUAUUCACCAUUUACGUACAUAGAUAACACAUCUAUUAUAGCUUACCAUGAAUUCGAACGGAGACAUCUAUACCUAGUCCAAAUAAGUUGUAUAACCAACACGCACCAUUCAUAAUCUCUCACGAUAAAACCCUAUAUAAUUUUUUUGAAAUCAUAAUCUCCCCUAAUAAAACUCAAUGUAAAAUUUUAGAAAUCGUAACUCAUGCCAGAACUUUUAUACAAAUAAAACUUGACUAAACUCAAAAUUUCCGCCCAACAUCUCGAAACAUAUCGGUUCCAAUAUAUCACUUGUAUAUCAUGAACUCUAAUAGAGAAAAUUCCAAAGAAAGUUGAAGUUGUCACCAUCCCUUUUAACCCCAAUAUAAUGAAGCCAUUUUUGGAAUUCAUAUUAUGAUGAUACAAAGCCAAAGAAUUGAAAACACAGAUGUUAUGAAUCCAAAGCAGCCAGCUAGCUAGCCAAAGAGACACAGCCACACACUAACACUACUUUCUCUGCAAUCCCACCAGCAAACAACCAACUUGUUGAUUGAAUCGUAAGAGAAGAAAACAAAUUACUUUUUAAUAAAUGGGAAUUCCUUAUCUUCCUCCUUUGUUUUUUUUGGCAACGUUCGAGUUCGAAUUCGGAUACUUAAUAUUCAUUAUUUAUUUAUCGUCUGAAUUUUUUUCAAAAAAAAAAGUAGGGUUGACAACAAUCGAGUUCGAAUUUGCAUAAUUACUAUACGUUACAUUUGAGUAAUAUCCAUUUUAUAUAAUAUUUUGUGUAGUUAAUAUCAUACCAUAUACAUAUUUAUCGGUUUUAGUUAUAACCGCAAUUGAAAAAAGUAAAAAUAUAAAGAAAGUAUAUAAUUUUUCAAACAAUUCACAUUUGUAAAUCACUAAUUAAGCAAUAUCAAAUUAUAUAAAAAAAAUUUAAUAAAAAACUUAAUCGAGCAGUUACGGUUCAGAUAUGAUAUCUCAAUAUUCAUAUCCUAAAAAUACCCAUUCAACUCAAAUUUUACCCUGUUUAAACAGAUGGGGUUCGUCCGGAUACCCGUAAUAACGAUUAUAAUUGCCAUCUAGAAUUUAUAAUUAUAAACUUGGCUUUCUCUUGUUGCCAAUUUCUUGUUGAUGGUGCCGUUUGAGUAUAAGCUAGCUAGCCCAUCUCUAUCUCUGGCCAUUAUCGUCAAUGGUAACGUUUUGGUAUAUAAGUAUAUGCCCUUGUUUGAAUUGUUGCGAAACUAAAAGUUAGUGCAACUAGCUAGCUUAUUGUUAGCCUUAGCUAUCAUAAAUUAUUUAUAUGCAUCUUUGAUCCUUUUCAUGUGAUGUUUAUGAUAAAUUGGUAUUUAUAAGUUAUAACAUUCAUUCACAAUCUGUGUAUGGGUUCCGUCUUGAUUGAUUGAGGACUAGUACAUGCAACUGUCCAAGGUGACGAGUGGAUGGUGGUCAUCAAUACCUAGCUAUAUACUACUACUCUAUUAUUGGAUGCCUUUGUCAACGGUAUGAACAUAUCUUGCAUAAUUUGCCACGUGGAGAGUAGCUAGGUUCACCAAAAUAUAUGUACAAUGGUCCGACUCGCGACGAAGUUGUGUUAAAGCUGUUUCGAUAUCAUGGAUAGGCGAGGAAUUCAGCAAACGGGGAUAAGUUUCAACGUUUGGAACAUAAAAUUUUGUGUGUAUCGUUUAGUUUGUUUUAUUACCAAGACUCCCUCUACGGUCGCACCACAUUUAGUGAUGUCGUUGUUAGGAAAAUUUUGUGGCUGCAGGCAUUCAACCCAUUUGAUCAGACUAAUGAUGUCAUCACAAGGGUUGAAAUGAUUGAGCAUGUAUUUUGGGUUUCGACCCAUAAUCUAUGUGAACAAAGUCAUGUACUAUAAAUUAUAUAUAACCACUCAACUUUAUAUAACAUGUUUCGCAUGUGUACCAUGUAUUUGAUGUGCGACAUACUCUAAACUAGUUUAGAGACAAUCAAUAUUGUAGUCUACUCUUAAAUUCUACAUGAUAUAUUGUAUGAUCUUGGUAAAGGGUCAGCAUCGGUGUCCAAUAAAAAAGGAGACCACAUUUCUCGAGCGAUCCACCUUAAUCUUUCCUUGUUAGGUGUUCAUAUGUGAUGUGUCAGAUCCGCUGAAUUUGAACUUAGUAUUUUUAAAUUAUCAAAUAUCAACAGACGACGCAAUCAACUACAUUACUCCAAGGUUGGAAAAGAAUAUAAUAGUCGCAUCCAAGAAUUCAAAACCCCACGUAUAUUUAGAGAUUAUUCGUUGUCUCUAUGUAAUCAAUAUUGUGUUUGAUUUCGACAUAAUUAAUAACAAAAUAGUAAAAUGCUUAUUAGUCCAUCCAAAAAUCCAAGAGGUGGCGGCCUUGUAAAUUCGUAACGAAGACUUCAUCAUUAUUUGCAUAUUUCAAUAUUCAACCCAAAUUGAAGGAAAGAGUUUGACGUUGAAACGCCGUCGUUUUCUCUUAUUCACACUAACCUUCCCAUCUAUAUCUCCCUUUUAUUUUCUGCAAUUAUGACUAACUUGCAUGAUAAAAAAAAAGUAAUUGAUAUGUGGGCUCAUAAAUAUUUAAUUCAGUUGGUUAGUGGACCAAAUAAUUAAUAGUUCAAUUAGAAGUUUGAGUUGAUUGAGUAAAUAUGAUCAUAGAUCUUUCUUUUUAAAUAUAUAGAAGUUUUAAUUAACGAUUCUUUAUAUGAUAUAAAAAAAUGUAGUGAGUGGUUAAUAGAUAUUAUAAGUAGGAAGAUAGGGGUAUGACUGAUACUAAGCAUGUAGUAUGAGUAUGUGUAUUUAUAGCUUUUAGCCGUGCAUGGUUGGGGGUAGCUAGAUAAUGUUAUAGAUGUAGGCCACCAAGUUUUAAUUAAAUACGUUCAUGAUGGCAUGACCUUAGUAGAGGAAAUGUAGUGAUAUAUCUGAUGAAUGGUGGCUAGGUCUAGACAAGAUCUUGCUGGUUGUUGAUGAUGAAGAGUGAGGAUUUUCCUAGACAUGAAACUUUAAAAGACAGACGAUUAAAUUAUUUUCUAUGACAGGAUAUCCUUCAUCAGAUCAAUUGAUGUGAAAGGACGGUCACCUCUAAAUCAAUUUAUAUCAAGCUCAUCUUGAAUGGUACCAUGAACCAUAAUCAUUUUACUUAUGCACUAAGAAGUUACCAUCUUUACUAGUUACCUUUUAACUUGUUUUCACAAAAGGGGUGAUGCAUGCCUAGUUGGAAAAAUUUGGAAUUCGAUUCCUUUACUAAAUUCUAUCACUUUCCCACUAUAGAAAAAACAAAACAAAAUUCAUUAAAUGGAUUAACGUGAGAAUCAUGCAUCUCUGGUGGUGGUGGUGGUGGUGACUAAACUUUUUAUUUAUUAUUCAAUGACUCAAAUGUAAUUAAUACCCCCCAAACAAAAAUAGUUUAAAAACUAUUUAAUGUUUUUCUUGGGAGAGGAAAAGAGACUGACGGUGACGGUGACGGACGGGGGAAGAGUUAGCCGUUGGGAAUGGGCUUAAUCCUGUUGGCGGGUACUUUGGCAGCGGAAGGAACGGAAAACGACGACGUUUGCGUGAAGGGCUCGGGUCACGGGUUUUGGGUGAUCCGCAUAUCUCUUGCUUCUAUAAAACAAAAUUUAGGUGUUGUUUGGCCAGGGAUUUGAACUUGCUACAUCUUGAAAUUGAAACCACCGAUAACCGGAAAUAUGGUGGAUUAGUUUGCUUUGUGAUUAACUUAAAAUAUAAUUAAUAAGACUAAAAGCAACUCCAUUUGUACUUAGUUGAAAUCAUAGUGCAACCAAAAGUCUAAUCAUAUAGGGCCCUAUAAUCCCCAAUGUACAGCUGAAAUUCAUGAAACAAUUACCUAAACAUUUGGAGACUUUCAAUUAUCUGUCUUGAUGAUCAUUCAUACUCAUCCAAAACUGUAUCACCAUUUUAUUUGGUUGUUUUUACUCAGAUGGUUAAUUUGUUGUCAAAAUCAAAUCGACCAAAUUGACAUAUAUCAUGUAACUGUAAUUUGUUAUACAAAAAAAACAUGAUCGACUUUCUUUGACGAAUUUUCUAUAACAAUUCGAUCUCAGUACAGCGUUUAAAUCUUAACCGUGUUGCUUGAUUGAUUUGAUAUUCGGGCCGAUAUAGCAACAUCGGUAUCUCUUGAUAUUUUGACCUUAGUUUUGAUCAAAAAAUAUUUUGAUCUUAGUAGUCUUUGUCAUGUACAAGAGGUGAAAAAUUGGGGAAAUAAUGGCAUGUAGAGGAUGGCAUGCAGGAAGUUGCUUCAUUUGUCCAAAAGUGAAUUUGAUUGUGAAACAUGAAGAUAAUUAUGAUUUAUUAUAUAAUAUAAAGUAAAGUAAUUAUAGUUUAAUUAAGGAGAUGAAAAGGGGAUUACAAAUGCAAGCGUGUUGGCUUUCGUGGGCGUUUAACACGUUGUUGGAUGUAACUUUGUGUUUUGAAAGGGGAGCUUUUACACAUUCAAAGCACCAAAUUCCUCAAGUAUUUCACAAAUCUUGAGAGUUUUUGUUGUUUGAUUAUGUAGUGGGAUGUGGGUUUGCCACCCGAUGAUCAAAAUAUAAUCAAAAUAAAUUAUGAAUCUUUCAUAAUAAUUUAAUGCANNNNNNNNNNNNNNNNNNNNUUUAAUGCAUUGAGUUGGAUUAUAUAGAAUUUAAAAAGUAUUAAGUUGCAUAUAAAAGUAUGGUAAUUAAUUUAAAAAUUUAAAGAAAAUGGUGUAAUAUUGAGUGUUCUAAACUUAAAGAUGAAUUAAAUCAUAACGUGAAAAAACUCUCCUCUUAUGUGAUUAGUGAAUAAUGACACAUAUUAUUUAAAGUUUAUGAGUAAAUUACGCAUUAUGAGUCUGACUGAGUACUACAUCAUUAAGCACGACAUUGACAUAUGAACAUAUAUUUUUUUUGAAUAUUCUCACUUUACAAAUUAACUUCUGAAGAUGAGUUAGGGUGUAACACAAAAUAUUAUUAUUUGUUUAUUGGGAUUAAACCCCUCCGUCUAUGUAAGAUAGAAAAAAUAAAUAAAUAUUAUAUCAAAUUUCAUUUAUAAAAUAUAUUAAAUUCAGACUCGAAAUUUUCAAAUUGCUAAACAUAUGAUCCUAUUACCGAAAUAACUUCACUUUUGCACUAAAUAUUGUUGUUACGGUUUUGUAAAUUGACUACUAAUAUCAUUAUACUUAUUUUGGAGAAACGGUAUCGUUUUGCAUGUAGUAAAACAGACGUCCAGUGUCGAGGAUUUGACGAUUGACUUAUUGAGCCAUCGUCGUAGCUGCCUCCGCCGGCACCGGCGAGCCAGGAGCCGGUCCGGUGUUGCUCCUGUCACCUUACGUUAGAUAAGAUGAAACUCCUUAUUCGCAGACUCGAUUCCAUUUCUAUUGUCCGUUUCCGUCGCUUUUGGAAUGGCAUUCCCUUCCAAAUUCAAGCCUUCCUUUUUCCCACCGCUCUUGUUUUUCUACAUAUUGUUAUCAGCAGAUGAUCUGGAAUCAAAUUUGUACACUAAUCAUCUCCAGCCGAGAUAACAACGAAAUGGGUAAUUAAUUGACAGCCAGCAACCCCCUUUUUCCCCUUUCCAUUUUCUCGAAUUCAAUUGCUUGUCGUCUUUGUUUCGAGAAUCUACACAAAAAGUUGGGUUCAUCAUCAGCUGGCAUCUGUAGUUUGUUGAAAGAAUGAUUCCUUGAUUCUCCUUAUUGAUUUUGUGUUUAUUGAAAGGAAGUGAGGUUUCAUGAAUGGACACUAUUCUCCGCUCCAAAGAUUUAUUCUUUGGGCGUUUUUGUUGUUUCUGCUGGCAGGGUUUCUGGGUUUGCACUUUUUUCUCUUUACUGGAAGAUACUUUUGCCCGGUUUCUGAUAUUUCCCAGAAGCCAUAUUGGUCUGAAAUGCUGUAGAAUUGAAGUAUAUCCGUAUACCCUAAUCUAAAACUGUAAAAUUGUCAUGGAUUUGCUUAUGUUAUUUGCAGUGCUUUCGAAACUGUACCAUAUCAGAUGGAUUGAUUAUCACUACUGCGAACCAGCCAUCAAGCCGGUCUGAUAAGAUCGUGGUUUAAGCAUUUGGACAUCAUUAUUGCCAUACUUAUCUUAAUUAUGAAUAAUGCUAAGGAAGCUUGUACGUCUACAUUUUGGUGGUUGGACUCAUUUUGACCACAUCUUAUAAGCUCGACACCUUGCAUCAGUAAUUUCUCCAUAACCGGUCUGGUAUGAUCACGGUUUAAGCAUUUGAACAUCAUUAUUGCCAUACUAAUCUCAAUUAUGAUUGCAAAUGAAACAUGUAUGUCUAGAAUCUGAUGCUUGGACUCCUUUUGACCACAUUUCAUAAGCUCCACAACAUGCAUCAGUAAUUUCUCCUUCCUUUUUCUUCCUGUCCAUUUACUUUCAUGUGGUAACUUUGAAUUUAAGUUUCCAGUCGAGUUGCAGGCUAUGGACGGAUCUGAUCCAAGUUAGCGAAGAAGCUUUGUACCAACAAGGAGUACAGAUGUUAUGGUAUGCAAUUUCUGAUUACUCAUGAUCUAUUGUACCAUGUGUGUUGUUGUCCUUCUUGUCUGGUCCUCAAAUUGAUGCUGCACUUACUUGUCUGUUUAUGUUUGCACUACUUGAUAAAGCUGGUUCACUCUCAAUUUCCCUCUUAAAUUAUGCAAAUGAAAAGCCAGAACAAGGCGUUGUACCAAUCACCAGAAAAAAUUGAAAGAUGGAAUCAUGUCCUUUGUAAUUUCCAGUAGGUGAUUGAUUAAUUGUCUAGUAACGUGCAAGGAACAUACACCUGUUUUUGAUUUGUUUAUAUCUUUUGGAUAAUACCAUUCGGAACUAAUGACCCACAGCAGUGUUUGGUUGGUUGGAUGAUAAUGAUUUCCCUCUCAUUCACCUAACCUUAUGGACAUCUCACUAGCUGUACAUGCAUCACUUUGUCCCGUUCUCGAAAAGGUUGCUGUCGAAAGAGAGGCGAAAUCGGGUUGUACAUCUAGUAGCCAGGAUUCUUCAAAGAUCCAACCUUUUUCAUCUGGGUAUCAUCCUUUUUCCCUUUCUGCAAUAACCUCUCUUUUUCUGUUCUAUUUGUGGCUAAGUAGAGUCCAAUAGAGUAAUGAACAAGACGUAACCGCGACUCAAGGCACCGACUUUAGUCACGGUUCAGCGGUUAAGGUACCAGGACCGGACAUAUCCUUAGUCGUCGUUCCUUUCGAGUCUGUUGUUUUAUCUUGCAGUUGUUCUUUCUUGACCAGCUCUUCCACACAGAGCCAGAGAUCAGUUCCAUUAUGCAAUUCUUUUGACAAAAGGAGGAGAAUUGAUCAACUAUGAGGGCUUUUGUUGUUGUUGUUGUUGUUGUUGUUCAAACCUGUAACUUUGAAUUUAUGAUUGGUGUUGACUGACAAGGCUAACUAAAUCUAGAUGCAGCGUGCUUUGGUGGGUCUGAGAGCACUUUGAUUAAGUUGUUUAUUUGAUUAUUUGGCCGGCAAGAUUGCCAUUACUACGUGACAAAGAAACUUGGAUGAUUGAUGUAAUGAUGUUCUUCAUUACUUUCAAUGUGCCAUUUGCAUAUCCUUUCCUAUUAAGGUCUAAGCAAUUGCUGAUUUUCUUUUGACUACGAAAGCUGUCCCUUUAUCAAUGGUCAAAGCUCGCAGCAUCCAUUAAUUAAACCACGUAGGAGAAGCUAUGCUUGUAAUUUAACCUAUAGUUGGUGGGAUAAGAAAAUGUUGUUACUUAACGCAUGAGCAACUAAAUUACGUAUUCUUGCCGUAUUACACUACUUGUAAUAAGCUCGAGUUGGGAUAUGAUUGGAGGAAAGUGCACUGUAGUAGAAACUUAACUAGCAUGUAUGUAUGAUUAGUGGCGGGUAUUCUCCUGGUUCACCAUGCGGUUGGUUAGUAACCGUUCUUCUCGACAUUAUACGGUUAGCACACAGGCUUUUGUUCACAUUCGAUGUGGAAAUUGUCAACAACGUUCUUUUCAUGCUUCGAUUUCGGUAAGCUACUCAUCCAUCACAAUUGAUAAGGCAUUUAUAGACCCAUAUGCUAUCAAUUGAUCGCAUACUUUUAUCGUGACGAAAUGUUUAAAAGGGUAAACUUGAAACUUUUGAAAAAAAAAGUGAUCAUAUCAUGAUGCAAAAUCUUAAUCAUUACAAUAUUUAACCUAUUUAGUUUUUGCAAAAUGUUUAUUUGGGGACAAAUUGUCGGCAAGAUCAACUAAUUUGGUGUCAUUUUGGUGGGUAAUUUUGAUAAUGUGUUUCCAAAUUCCAUUCAUUCAUCUUCCCCACCAUGGCCUUAUAAGCCCAUUAAGAGCCUCAAACUGUUACUCGGAUUUGUGUGCUUAAACUUGUUGUUCAUAAACAGUGAACUAGCCACAAGUCUAUUAGACUAUGUUCGAGGAAUUCUAAAUAUAUGUAUGGUCGUUAACUAUAUCAACAAUUUUAGCAAUUACUUCAUUCGGCAGUUUUUAGUCACUAUUCAUUGGUUGGAUCAUGAACCUUUUAUCCAAACAAUUUGGUAUAUAAUAACAGUUUAAUUAUGAUUUAUAAUAAUUUAAGUGGUUGAACAAUAUAACGUUAUACAUUGUAUAGAUUUAAUAUUUUCAUCGUAUAGUUCUGAAGACCAUGUUCAUUGCUAAUGAAGUUACUAAUUUAACAAACACUAUGUAUCUUUAACCAUUACUAAAUAAAGUGAGAUUUUACAAUUGGCAAUUAUGAAGUUUUGGAGUGGAGAUACUAAUCUUAGAUCAUCCACAUUGUCAAAUGUGUUUUGCUUCAAUGAUGUCAUGAUUAAAUUUAGUACCGCCCAUUUAAUUUUCUAUCUAAUUCUAACUUAGCAUUAAAACAUAAUAAUUUAUUAUCAAUGAAACAAUGAUCGUACCUUUUAUCCAACUUUUGUGUUAUCAACUGUUCAUUCAAUUUUAGUAACAAAAUAAUAUAACUUUAUUAGUAACCGUAUAUACUCACAAUUUAAAGAUAUCAAGUUCAAAUCCGAUACAAAUUCAAAUCUAAUAGCCCAAUGUAAAUAUAUAAUAUUUCAUUUCUUCAAUCCAUCUUGGAAUGAUAUACUUUUGAAAAAAAAUGAAGAGAAUUGGAAGCAAAUGGGUCUAAUUUCUUCCAAGUGGCUCUCGAAUCAGCCAUGGAAAUGGGUGUCAAGCUCAAACAGAAACACACACACACAACAACAACAAUUUGCUAGCAAAAUCCUCGCCAUGAAUGUCUAUUAAAAUCCAUCUAAUCUCCUUGCUAAUCAUCACCUUUUGUUUAACCGUUCAUAAUUUNNNNNNNNNNNNNNNNNNAUUUUCUUUUAUUAUUUACCAAUUUCAUCCCGUACAAAAACGCUUCAUUCACUAUUUUCUAACAGUCUCCUCCUACUCACAUUCUAAUUCCAAUAUAAAUUUUUGUUAUUGCGACCUCCCAAUUUUUAAUUAAAAGAAUUGUAAUCUGAUUGAUUUUUUUCUCAUUCCGCUUUCAAUUUUUGCGUAGAGAAAUUUUUCGCCUUAUUGUUUAGGAUUCGUAAGGAUCGAGGAANNNNNNNNNNNNNNNNNNNNNNNNNNNNNGUAAAUAGUGGGGGGUUAUCAUUAUAAUAUAUAGUGCCAUAAUUUAAAUACACCAUAUCCAAAAAAAAAAAUCAUUUGAUUGCUUAGAUUCUUUCCAAUUUGUCCCCUCAAUUCACAAAAUUACACUUCAUAUUGUCUCCUUUGGUUUUGUCCAUUUCUAGCUACAUAUCACAAGCCCCUAAAAGGGAAUAAUCUUAUGUUCCAUUCUCACCAUUAUUAGUAUUACCACUACUAGCUACCAUUACCAUUAUCUAAUGGCAGAAUCAUGAGUGGAUGAAAAUAGAUUAUCGUCGUAAAUUCACUAAUUCCAUUAUUAUAAACUUUAGUGUAACCCUUUUGUCAUUGAAGUUUUUAUCUAAAGUAAUUUGGAAACUCGAUCGUCUGUAGCACUUUCAAAUUCAACACCAAACUUAAAAAUUAUAUAUGCUUGUGAUCUUUGGACAUUCUGGUUCCGAUAUUAUUUGCUACGAUCAUCCUUCUUUACUUCUCAACUUCAAACACUUCGUCGAGCAUGAUGUUUCUAUUCAAUAUAACGCGCUAACUCACCCAAAAGCCAAACCUUAACGACCACGAUCCGUAGUAUCGAACACCACAAAAAACGAAAAAUAUUGUAAUAAAAACGGUCGAACAAUCACAAUCACAGUCACCACAAAAUUAAGAACAGAAACAACGAGAACAUAUACCAUAGCCAACCUAAGUACAUCCAAUGUGUAGUUUAUUUCCUCUCGUGCCGCCAUAAUAUAUGUAACAGUGAUGUUCCCAGAUAACUGGGACGAUGAUAUUUAUUAAUAUAAUAUCGAUCGAUCACCACUUUCAACUGAGCUUUUUGCUUGUAAUCGAUCACCAAUGACCCAAUGAAGACUCACAACUUCUUGCUAUAAAAUAUUAAAAAAAUAUGGCAGCAAUCAUAUGCUUAGAUUGCUACACUUGCAUUUCACAUUUUAAUAUAUUUAUUUUUGUGCAAGUCAUAUUUACAAUAUAUUAACUUAUCCAUGAUUGAUGUCUUCAUAUUCAUAGUUUAAUAAUAUUUUCUUCAUUACCCAAUAAAGCAUUAGAUUCAAACUAGUUUUAUCAUAUAAAAAAAGUACUACUUCACUUCAAAAUAUAAAACAAUUAUGUCUCCACUAGUGUAGUGUAAAACCCGUAAAACCCAAUUGAAAGAGUGAUACAUAUGUGAUAAUGAAUAAGUGAGAGAGAUCAUAUCACAUAUGCAUCAUCAUGUCAUGUACAAUGAAGUAUGGCAUACAAGGUCGGCAUGUUAAUCGACAAACAUAGUUGCUUGUGUUUCGAAAGACGUACAUCGUGUAUAUAUGAGCUCUUGUUCUGAUACGAUUUUUUCCCCCAACAUGUUAUAUUAAUUUUACAGGCUANNNNNNNNNNNNNNNNNNNNNNNNNNNNNNNNNNNNNNNNNNAUUUAUUUAUGGUAGUCUGAAUACAAUAGACAAUCACUCAUUUUGUAACUGUAUAUACAAGGAGAAUUAACUAGCUAGAAGAAGUAGUUAUAAUAACCACAAAGAUUAUUUGGAAUAACCAACACAUUUACUCAAAUAAGUGAGAGUUGCAGUCGAGGAAACCUCAUUCCCAAGAGCAUCUAUGCCAUAUUUGAACACCAAGCCCUAAAAGAAGAACCACCCUUUAAUUACUACUGUUUGUGGAAAUUUUCACUCUUAUGCAUAUAGUAAUAAAUGGACAAGGUUAUGUCUUUCACUUUGCAGCCAUUUUGGAGCUUUUGAUGUAGCUAGGAGAAGUUUCCUUUUCUUUGUACUUCACCUGAAAAUCUGCACACAAAAAACGGGAAUGAUAUAGGGCUUUUCGAUAAAGUAUCGGAUAUUUACGUGUUUCGGUCAAUUGGGUCUACUCUACAAGAGUUAAUUGUUGAGCAUCUAUUUAUAGGCUUUAUAUAGGUUUACCUUAAACUACGGGGAAUACUAGUACAAUUAAUUAGUAUUGCUGUUUUAUUUCCUAGUUGUAAUGGAAACGAGAGACAUGAUUCAACAUCCUAUUUCGAGAUACUAAUAAGCUUUUACGACGAGAGAAAUAAGUAAAAAGGUCAUAUCCCGACCUACAUACCUUGUAGAAGAAAGUCAUUGACAUAUUGAAGUAGUAAUGAGGAAGAGAAAGAAAGUAGCUAAUUAUAGUCAUGAUAGUUUUCAACAAAUGAAGGUUAAUUAAUUGAUUAAGUACCUGAUCUUCAGGUUCAUCAGAGUGGUUCCAUGGUGUUUGUGGAUGUUCAUGAUCUUGUUGUUGCUUCAACUUGAUUUCAUCUCUGAAAUGGGCUGGUGGGAACUGAGCCCACUGGACAAACCCACAUAACAAAAACAAUGCCAUCGUUUUUUUUAAUAUGCUACGAGAUUGAUUAUUGUUAUUGACGAUAAUUAACACUCAAAUUAAACAUAAAAAUUACGAUUUACAUUCUUUGCAGCCAUGCUGAAAGCUUCCUUAUGAACCAUCUUUGGAUUCUCAGCUUUCAGCCUUUUGAUCUCCUCUCUGCAUUAAAACAAUAUUAAAACAGAUUUAUUUGUUUUAAAAAACCAUUUUCCAAAAAUGACAAAUUAAUGAUCCAAAUUGUGAAGGAAAACACUGAACAGAAUUAAUGUUUCUUGAUUAAUUACUUGAUGAAGCGAUUGUAAGCUGAAGGAGCCCUUUGCCUUUUCUCUGGAGCUGCAAAAAUUUAAAAAAUAAUAAUACAAUUUUACUAUUAUAACCACACAAUUAAAUGAUUAACUAACAAAAUAUUUAAUUAAUUUGAUGAAAUAACUUACGUUUAUUGAUUUUGCGAUUAAUAUCUUCAUCUUCAUUCUCAUCAGAAGUUACCAACAAUGGUGGGCUGCUAUCCAUGAACAACAAUGAACCCUUCUCUUCAUAUAGGCUACCCACUUGAUGAUUACCAUCUUCCUUUUGCUCCUUCACAAUCGUCAAAAUAGUCAUCCAAAAUAAUUACGAGUUAUUGGGAUGAAUCGAUUCUCCAGCGUGAUAUCAGAUUGUUUCACUGUGAGAUCGAGGCUCGGUAAAGGCAACAAUAUCAUGUGUUCAAUUACUUGAGUAAAAAAUUAAAUGAUGUUAAUUAAGGAGUGGUAUAUAAACCAAUUAUAACCCUCUUUCAAAAUCUCAAGAUAUUGUGACGAUAAUGAUUAGUACGAGAGCCUUCCAUGACAAUAGUUAGUGAAUCUAUGCAAACUUCAAUCCCUCUACCUGAUUAUGAACCUCGUCGUUGUCGAGUCCAACAUCGGGGGAGGCCGGCAAGAGAUGGAAGGGAAGGAAAGAGGCUUUGAUCAUAUUGACAGAGAGCAAGCUAGUGCAAUGGCCACACCUCACUGUAACCACCAUUGACAAGCUGCUGCAUGGCACACUCACCUUCAAAGAGCAUAAACAUAAUGAAGAUUUAAGCUUACUGACAUUAUAAGUAGAUAAGCUUUUGAAAAAGAUCAUUAAGAAGAAUGGGUUUAAUUUGAUUGGUUUUACCAGUAAGAUGGUGGUGCAGAAGCCACACUGGACAUAGCAGAUCUGGUCCUCUGCUGCUGCUGCUGCUGCUGGUAGAUCAAACAGUUGGCUGCUGACUGUUGACGACAUUUUGUCAAGAGAGAAUGAGAGAGACAAUGAGAAGAUGAUGGAAGUUUCAUAUGGGUUUUUUUAUAUAGGGAGAGAGCUAACUAUAGGGGUAAAAUUGUGAUAUUAUAAUUAUUUUUCCCUUUUUAUACCAAGAAGUUCUUUGACGGAUAUGGUGAUAUCGUCGUCAGAUAAAAUUUGGAGGUUGCCAAUCGUCAGCCCGGGUGAGACCGGUUAAGUCAUCACAAAAGUGCCAAAAUGGUUGUGCAUUCCAAAUUUCAAACACGAGAUCUUUAAGAACAAAAUCAGGUGUUACAACCAUUCGACUAUAACUUGUUAAAAUUAUGUUUUUUUUAAAUAAGUCAGAUUAUAAUGGUAAUUAAUCUCUUUUUGGUUGAGGGGUAUAAUGAUUGAUUAAUUGUCAUUAUCAUGAUGAUAAUAAUUAAGUCUCUGUUCGUCAGGUUGUUUGUAAUUUAUUACCAUCACAAAAUUACUCAUAAUUACAUGUGGCCACACAAGACUUUGAUAGAUAGAUGGUCCCUUUUCCAAGACUAUGAUUAAUUUUAGUUAAGUGUACUCUAAUGUGUUUCUAAUUAGUUUUAAUCAUUAGUUAAGAUUUUUUUUAUUAAGAUCAUAAUUAUGUCCUCAUUUUAUUAUAAUGUUAAUAAAGAUUAAAUUAGUAUAAUUAUAUCAUCAUUUUAUUAUAAUGUUAAUGCAACUCUUUUAAUAUUUUCAUAAAAGUAAGAUCUUAUCGAUAAAAUUCGUCUUAUUAUCACUUAUCGAAUCUUUUUAUAGAUCAUUAAUGACUAAAAACCUGUUAAUAAUUUGUUUUGUUUACGAGAUAAACACUCAACCAUUCCACUAAUCAAACUUCGUACUGCACACACUAAUGGUCACUUUUCAAUAGAGAAAAAACCUAAAAAGAUUAAAUCACCAAUAUGAUCAUCAUUUGAUAUUUGUGUAUCAACACAAGACUAUGAUUAAUUUUAGUUAAGUGUACUCUAAUGUGUUUCUAAUUAGUUUUAAUCAUUAGUUAAGAUUUUUUUUAUUAAGAUCAUAAUUAUGUCCUCAUUUUAUUAUAAUGUUAAUAAAGAUUAAAUUAGUAUAAUUAUAUCAUCAUUUUAUUAUAAUGUUAAUGCAACUCUUUUAAUAUUUUCAUAAAAGUAAGAUCUUAUCGAUAAAAUUCGUCUUAUUAUCACUUAUCGAAUCUUUUUAUAGAUCAUUAAUGACUAAAAACCUGUUAAUAAUUUGUUUUGUUUACGAGAUAAACACUCAACCAUUCCACUAAUCAAACUUCGUACUGCACACACUAAUGGUCACUUUUCAAUAGAGAAAAAACCUAAAAAGAUUAAAUCACCAAUAUGAUCAUCAUUUGAGUUUUGAGUGUCACCACCAAUAAAUGACAGUUUUUCAACUCUGCUUCAAACUUUCAAACAGUGGAACUACAGACAGUAAUUAAUUUACCAAGGUGAAUAAAAGUGGUAGUGGCCCCCUCUAAAGUGACUCAUGGGUUGUUUUCUGUGUCAUAAUUUACUGCUUCAAAACGAGAGAAAGGAUGGUGAAAAUUACCAAAGCAAGGUCAGGUUCUAGAAGAGUGGAUCAUGUUCGUAGAAGGAAAUGAAGCAUCUUGGCCUUUUGUCUUUCUGUCCAAAGGGGUUUCUUUAUGUUCCACUGUUAAUGCCACAUCUACCUUUGCCAAGUUUCCAUUUCCAUUUCCAAUUUUUUACCUCGAGUUAUUAUUUAAAAGAUGAUAGAGUCGGAGAUUUGUACAACUUUGAGUAAGUAUUGAAUCAUUAUGAUACCACGUUGUCAUAAACCACUGCAUGUCAACCACUUAAAUCAUUGGGACAUGACGAUUCAUAACAAGUCUUUGUUCUGUGAAUAACAUUCAGAAUCCAAAGGGAUAUUCAUAGUCAAAUACAAGUAUUAUUGAAAACAAACGCUAGACCGAACAACUAAAAAUAUAGAUAUCAAAAUGCAUAACAUUACUAUCAUCAUUGCCCUGGAUACUUUCGAAGGAUGGUGACAGCUCAGGACAGCCAACCUCCCUACGUACCAACUCUUUGGUGGAAUGUUGAAGUUUGAUGAUCCAAAUUCACCGUGUGUAUAUCAAAGAGGUCAGAUCAGCCGAGCUUGCAAGUCCGUAACCAAACUUCAUUAGUUCUUCAUCAUUAAUAUUUGUUAAACCAAUAACUUCUUCUCUCAUUGGUUAAUGAUUUAGGGUUAUGAUUUGGGUUUUUGUAGGAGAGAUUGGCAAAUGUGAAUGCAUGGAAAAAUGAAGGAGUCAGAAGUCAGGAACCAGAUAUUAAUUAGUAAGGGACUAAGAUUGAUAAAGGAUUAGAGCUCAAUUUGGAAAUGUGUAGGUGUGGGUGAUUCAAGUGCAUGAUUUCCUCAUUUUGUAUAAAUUGCCAGAUUGUCGUUGAAAGUGUUAAUCUCUAGUGAUUAUAGAAGGGUUAAGGGGGAAGUUCUUUUGAUAGCUAUGUUUGACCUAGUUUGGGGGUGGUUGCUACUAUAUCGUUCGAUUCGUUGGGUCGUUUUUACGGGUUUAUUAUGUCCCGGUUCGAUAAGGAUCAAGGGUUUCCUAACCCACUUAAUUGAUUGUUUGGGAUGGAAAUGCUCUAAUAGUUCUAUAUACUUUUAUUCUUGUACGUAUGAAAUUAAUCAUGCCUACGCACAUCUAUCGUAUACACUCAACCGCGAAACAUGCCGAUAAACUAGACCGAACGAAAUCAAACCGAUACAACUAAUUAAACCGAUUCUUGCUAUUAACCCAUCCACACCAACACACUAUGCAUGGAGAGACCAAUAUUAAUUGCACCACUUCAACCACCAAUUUGAGGACCACAUGAUAGGAUUGGAGAAGUAUUACUAAUUAAGAACCCUAAUUUUUUUUUUCUUUGUGAAUGGUGAUUCAGAGGGGAGUACCUCGUAGUUCUGUGUAGAGGUUGAAAGUAGUAAACUGAUAACAAUUUGGUUGACUGUGACUGCACAAGCUAGCAUUGAUUAAUGUGCCAUGAUUUUUGCUUCAUCUUGUUAAUUACUGAUCUGGAAAAUGUGGAUUAAUGGCCUUAAUUAAACUCUAUAUCACAAACAUUUUGUUUUGUUAAGAGUUAAUGGCGGGUUUGUCAGCUAUACAAAACCAUUUAGGCAAAGUUGAGUCAACUCAUCCAUGCACUAUGAAGAAGAACACUCAGUCAUCACUAGUGGAAUUUUGUUUUUGUCGUUUACUAUCUCAUUGUUGCCAGUUUUCCAGUUCAGAACAGAGCAACACAGACCCAAUUGGCAAUUGCAGAAUCACAAGUCAAUAAUUUUAUGAAUGAAGGUUUACAAGUCAUCCUGUGCAAAAGUUGGUAUAUAGGAGAUGUUGUGGGCUGUCAACGGUGGCAUCGGCCUCCAGCGUCGCGGUGCAAAGUUAAUAUGGAUGGUGCCUUGUUUACAGAGCAACGACGACGUCACGGAGUCGGGGUGGUGAUGGGGGACUUCGACGGGACUAUCUGGGACGCCUCCAGCGAAGCUUUGCGGGCUAAGGGUAGUAGAGGCUCGAGUUCUUGGAAGGGGUCAAGUGGAUCAUGGGGUUGCGGCGUUGCGGGAGCUAUUAAAAAAAAAAGAGUUCGGUCGAAUCCUUUUGAUUUACAAACAAAAUUCACCUAUUAUAAACAAAAGUCCUUCAAAAUUUUUAUGAACUAAUCCUACUACUAACUGUAAAUAAGUUUAAUUAGUGUAAUUACUAGCAGCAUUUUUUAUGAUCAGUAAUUUAUAAUUUUAACCAUGAUCGUUUUAUCAACCCUAUUCAUAUAUUAAAUGAGAUAAUAGAAAUAUCUAUAUAUGGGUAACACUUUGGUAUUUACAAAUAUCGGUAUCCUCUAUACUAUAAUUUUGUCAUAUUUUGUUAAAAAUAAGAGUUUGGAGGNNNNNNNNNNNNNNNNNNNNNNNNNNNNNNNNNNNNNNNNNNNNNNNNNNNNNNNNNNNNNNNNNNNNNNNNNNNNNNNNNNNNNNNNNNNNNNNNNNNNNNNNNNNNNNNNNNNNNNNNNNNNNNNNNNNNNNNNNNNNNNNNNNNNNNNNNNNNNNNNNNNNNNNNNNNNNNNNNNNNNNNNNNNNNNNNNNNNNNNUCAUUCGACCGUUAUUUACAGGGGUUACCAUAGUGAAUUUUUAUUUUUAGCCAUUUCCAAUAUGUAUGUCAAAUAUUAGCUGAUUUGAAAAUUUUAAAUUUUUUUUGUGAAAAUGGUCAAAUUUUCAUAGUAUAACACACGGAAAUUGAUAAAUUUUGAUAUGAAAAUUUUGAAAAUUUUCAAAUUGACUAAUAUUUGACAAGCAUAUUGAGAAUGGCUAAAAAUUGAGAUUUCACCAUGUUAAACCCUUCUAAUAAUAGUAAAAUGAAGUUAAAAAAAUAUUUUUUAAAGGUUUUGAUUGGUGUUGUUAGUGGGGAUGCAUGUGUUUUUUAUUACAAAAAUUUUACCUUUGAUUUUUAAUGGUUUCCCACCACAUAUUGUUCGGUACGAUUUUAAACCCCCUUACCAAUUUUCUGGCUCCAUCAAUGUGCGUGAGGACAAUGUUUUGUUCGAGAUCGAUUCACAGGUGGUUCAUGUGGCAUUGGCCCAUGAAGUGGUUGACCAAACGGAGUUUGGUAAAUUGAUCAAAGAAUGGCAGGCUGUACUUUUGUUACAACCUAGUUUCAAGGUUUUGUAGGUUAGGAGGAAUAGGAAUCCGAUUUUGGAGGAGGCCCUCCCGACUGAUUUGAACAACAUUUUGCUUUGCUUGUCAGCAGCAAUAAACGUUUGGGUUGUGAAAAAAAGGAGAUAUCGUUGAAUCUGCACUUGUUUAGCAUCGUUCAGUGUCUAUCUUCGGCUGGAGAAAUAGUCGUUUGAGGCACGAAGACGGUAGGCCAGAGCUCACGAAGAACGUAGAAGAACAAUACCGAUUAGGAUUUUAAGGGGCGAAGUGAGGGAUAACAUAGCAAUCCCUCGGCGUAUUCGGACAAAGUGACAGUAAGUGUGACAUGAGUAAUACCAUGUCAUUGAACAUUGAUCUCGAAGAGUAUACGUAACAUUGUCCUGUGUCGUCGCUUGAUUAGCUAAGUGUGUUGGUGCAAAUCCUACCUCUUGGCGACCAACACAGACUAAGAUGUGAUACAAAUCUAAGAAGCAUUACAGACUAAGUAGGCUUAAACAAUGAUCGAAUUGAACAAAGGGUCGUUAGGGUGAAAGAUUUCAAAAGGUGAUUUGGACAAAAUCACACACUAUAGAGAUUGUGAUAAAAUACACCGUUUGGCAUGGAACCAGAUUAUGAAACAAACAAUCAAAGUACGAUGUUAUGAAUUUAUGACAACAAAAUUUGUUAACCCAAUUAUGCUUCAAAAGAAGAGUAUGCAUACUACUGUGUUGUGAUGAUACCACCAAUUGCAAUGAUCAUACACAAGUAAUAUACGAGCUAACGAAUUAACUUCAUUCCCCUACUAAAACGGACAAACUGAUUAGAACAAUGAAUAUUCAGUUCAUCAACACCAAAAUCCCAACACUAGCAAAACUGAUCUUUGAAGGAACAAGGACCCAAACGAAGACACAGAACCAAUAUUUAUCUACACGGGACACAAAACGACUGAAACACAGGACCAUGGAGAAAACAAUAAACAACUUUUGGCCAAAACUUGUUACAGAACAGAUAGUAAGCCAAAGACACAAGAUAGACCACUACUAUAGAGGGCAGUCUUUCACCUUCUUCAAUAAGGAAAGACACUAGGAUCAAGAGGAAGAGGCACAUGGUACCGUCCACCAACUACAUCAGAAUGAUGACUACAAAAACUAACAGAGGGAGUGCAUAACUCAAGAACCAUGCAACAUACAUGAUCAAGAACACUUAGCAUUUGACCUUUAGGUUGCUCAACUAGUAGGCCAUUCACAAGACUCAGAAAUCAAGUAACAAGGACAAGUCUCACAGUGCAAAUUUGAGAAAUGAGUUGUUGACUGACCCUAAAGAGAGUAGAUGAAAACUGACGAUAACUGCCCUCAUUGUGCAAACCCAGUUGAAAUAAGAUACACCCACUCUAAAAUCAAUGUCAAAGCUUGAAACUUUAUCUUGUCCUCCUACUACGUACGCAGUUCAAGAAGAGCUAGAAACCAAUUGACAAUACAAAGUCUACAUAAGAUAUCUAGCAAUUGCAAGUGUAUAAUAAGAGCACUCAUGUCCAAUGACAAUUGAACAAAGCCAUCAGAAUCAAUGCCUAACCUCUGUCUAAACAACACACACAUCAUUAUAACCUAUCAAAGAGACAGACACAUUUAUGAACAUCUAAUGCCAGACAUGAAGAAAUUAACUGCAAUAACAAGCAAUUAGGCACGAAUUUAUGAAGCAGAGCGAUGUUUUGCAUAUCACAUAUCUAAACCAUCCAAAAUCCAACAGUUAACCAUAAACCUUUAAACCAUCCGGCGUUCAACAAACCUAAUCCAGAUGCUCAAAAUUCAAACAUAUUAUAAUCCAAAACACUCUCGAAACCUAAUCAGAGCCGGCCUUGUUGUAAACAUAGGUCAUCCCGCACUUGCCACAGUAGUGCCUGUCAAAGUGGUUGGCCAUAAACGUACCAGCUCCGCACUCGGCGUUGGGGCACUCCUUCCUCAGCCUCUGGACCUUGCCGGAGUCCUCCACCUUGUAGAACUGGAGGAUCGCGAGCUUCACCUUCUUCUUCUUAUGCUUGAUCUUCUUCGGCUUGGUGAACACCUUCUUCUUCCUCUUCUUGGCGCCACCGCGGAGGCGGAGCACCAGGUGGAGCGUCGACUCCUUCUGGAUGUUGUAGUCGGCUAAAGUGCGGCCGUCUUCCAGCUGCUUCCCGGCGAAGAUCAGACGCUGCUGGUCGGGUGGGAUUCCUUCCUUGUCCUGGAUCUUGGCCUUGACAUUGUCGAUCGUGUCCGAGGACUCGACCUCGAGGGUGAUGGUCUUCCCGGUUAGGGUUUUCACGAAGAUCUGCAUCGUGAGAGAGCUCAGAGCAAAAAGCACGAGUGGCUGCGAAAUGAGAGUGAAGAUGGAGUUUAUACCUCUGUGGGUGGGGAUUAGGGUAGGGUUUUGCAGGUUUCUUAAGAUUGGGCCGAUCCCAACAUUUGAAUAGUCCAUUUGAAUAAGUAGACAUGGGUGAUUGAUUAGGCCUCAAAAUCUUUGUUUUUUCUAAUAGCUUUGUGAGAAGAUAAUGAGAUAGUAAGUGGUAAACUUACAUUUUUAUCGAAAGAAUGAAAAUUAUCGAUAAAAUUUUUUAAAAAUAGUUAAAAGUUAGACAUAUUAUAAAAUGGGUGGCUCUCUAUUGACAAAACGGUGGAUCGUCUAGGGGCGGAGCCCCUGACUGACGAACAUAAGAUGGAGGAUGAUGUCUUGAACAAUCGAACUAUCAAAGGGGAGUAAGUCGACCAUUGCGGAAAUGAGAUGCGAACUUUUCGACGUCUCCUUCAAUAUCAACCUCAGAGCCUUGAUUCUCUAAGAAUAACAAUCAUCUAAACCCCUUUUAUAUUUAUAUUUACACAACUACCUUUCAUCAGUACUAUGUGCUAUAUAUUAAUUAGUUACUGAUGAUUAUUUUAUACUCUUCUUUAUAAUAUAAUUCGUUUUGUAAUUUGUAUGCUACGAGCUUCGAAUACACUUAUUUGUUUUAAACUCACAACGGAUAUGUUCGUCUAUUAAAAUAAACGCCAAAUCUUGCCGAUGACACAUGAGUAGUUUCGUUCGCACAUAAACAAGAAUUCGUUCUAAAAAUGUUAAGAUAACAUACUUUCCAAUCAACAAGCGGAUAAUUAUCUAGUUUAAAUUCGUCAUUUUUCGUACCAACAUAUACAACUAAGAUGAUUAGUAACCAAUCAUGCAUCAUGGAUGGAAAUCAACCGAGGAUAACAUCCACGACAAUGAUGAUCUCUGCGGGAGCGAUUUACUUGAGAAAAAGUGAAUCCUCAAAUCCAUGUUAGAUUACAUGCUAUUUAUUGAUCAAAUAGGAAAGGAUAUGGUAUAUCCUAAUAUCUAGAGUUUAAAUCCAAUAUAUCUUACGAAAUGAAUAUUAAUAUAAUAUUUUUUUUAUUUUUUUUAUAUUGACAGGGAAUCUCGGUAAAAAAAACAUAGCCAUUAAUAAUAAUGUGUACAUUCCAUUAACAAAAUGUACAUUUCAUGUGUAGUUGGGAGAGAUGUGACCAUGCUUGUAGGACCAAUGGUGGGGAUUACCUUCCAGAAAGUAGGAAGUGUAAUGAGAAUUGGCAACCAAAGUGUCGACAUGACAUGAUUUUCUUUACACCAUUGUCUUGGAAGUUUAUGGAAUAAUCAAACAGAAGAUGAAUGAUAAUCCCAUAUUGUAAUCUCUCAUACAGAAGCAACAAAUUUGAUACCAGAAACAGUAUUUGAUCAUUGUGGAAAACGUGUCGAAUCAACGCGAAUCCGAAAACCCAACCCGAAGCAAUGGCCUCCAAACACCUGCAGCGUUCUCAUUCCAACAUCCAUCUCACAGAUUCGUCCAUGCACUCUUUCAGCUACAAGCGGCUGUAAAGAGGGUCAAAGUUUCCUUCUUUUCCCAUUUUAAUUUCUCCAAAUUUUGACAGGACAUUGACAAACACAAUUUUGCCGCUUUCAUCAACAGUCGUCCCUUCUUCAGCAACCCAGAAGCUCGAUACCCAUUACCCACAUCUGUGAUCAUCUAAAAUCCCUGUGCUUCUGUGGUGAAAGAAAGCUCCUUUGAAGGGGAUAUCCAGAUUUUGCAAGAGAGAAGCUUUCAAUUUGUCUCUUCAUUUCUGUAAGUGCUGCUGAAAAACUCGCGUGUCCUGCAUUUUCAAUCAUGGGGGUUUAUAGUGGAGAAUCAUGGGGAUUGAAGUAUAUAUAUAUCUACCCUUUAUGCUUGAUUUCACGUAUGGGGUCCAAAAAAUUGGACUACCUGCCUUUUUCCUUUAUAGCAUCGAUUCCUUGAGUGUUGGUUUAAGAUGACCCUUCAGAUUUUGUUCAUUUUUGGGGUUUUUUCUGUCUCUUAAUAGUAAUACUUGUCUUCAUUCUAAACAAUCUGUGCGAAGUUUCUUGUAUAGUUACAAAAAGGAUGGUUCUUUGUAAUCCAUGUUAGGUUCAGCUGCAGUCAAUUGCUUGGACGUUAGUUAGUAUUAUGAUUUCUUUUGGAAGCCUUAGUUCUCAAUAUGGUAUCUUGGUGAGCAUGUCCAGUGUAUGAUAGGAGUGUAGUUCUGAGAGGGAAUCAAUAUUUGAGUAAAGAAAAUGUUGACUUUGUUAGCAGGAUCGUCGAACCGGACUUGGCAGCCGAUCAUGACAGCCCAUACGACUGAGCCGAGCUAUUGGUUGAACUGGAGGUUCGCCAUUUGUGGAGUUUUCAUUGCAGUAAUCAUGGCUCUAUCAGGUCUUCUGAUAUGGAAGUAUGAAGGGUCCAAGGAAUCGGAGUUCGAAUCCGAAAGAAGAGAAAGCCGCCGGUCACCAAGUGUUGGAUCCUUGUAUAAGGAUGAAGCUGGGAGAACUUGUAUGAAGACAAUUCAUCCUAUUUGGUUGCUAGGUUUCAGGAUUGUUGCCUUUGUUAUUCUCUUCUGUUUGCUCACCACGAAUACUGUCGUUGAUGGAGGAGGCAUCUUCUUCUUCUAUACUCAGUAAGUUAUCCCUUUAUAGUAACAUCAUAGCCUUUGGUUAACUAGCUUCACAUUACAUUAGUAACUAGUUUUUUGUUGGCCUACUUGCUUAGGUGGACAUUCUCUUUGGUGACCAUUUAUUUCGGAGUAAGCUCUCUCGAAAAAUCUGUUUUACAAAUAUGGUUACAAGUUGUUGAUAGAUCGAACUAGUUUCUUAUGAUCCUCAUUCUAAAUCUGAAGUAUGGAUCAGCAAUGUCGAUUUACGGAUGUUGCAAAGGUCAUGAUACUUCGGCUUUGGAUACUGAGAGAGGUAACUACAUUGCUCCGGAUCUUGGAGAAUUCGGAGAUUCAUCCAGCCGUGUAAAGAGUGCAGCUUUGGAUCAAGAACAAGAUCCGUGCUCUGAACAAAAGCAAAUUGCUGCUGCAUGGGGAUACGUGUUUCAAAUCAUCUUCCAGGUGAUUCAUAUCUUUUAGUUCAGAUCCAAAGACUUGAGUUUGAUAUUUCGAGUUCAGUGAGUUUGAAAUGUGUCUCAUUAUUUUUUGAUCCACUGUAUUACAGACUUGUGCAGGAGCUGUGGUGCUCACUGAUACUGUGUUCUGGUUCAUUCUUUAUCCCUUCCUAAUGGCUGCAGAUUUCAAGCUUGAUUUCGUAAGUUUUCGACUUUUUCUCCGUAUCUAGAAUACAUAUCCGAGUUAUGUUCGUUAAUCGAAAUUCGGGUUUUCCACAAAUGCAGAUAAAUAUUUGUAUGCAUUCAGUCAAUGCGAUUUUCCUCCUUGGCGACACGAUAUUGAACGGGAUGGUAAACUUCACCAUCCUCUAUUAUCCAUCUCGUUCGAACUGUGCUAGUCGGUAACAAAUCUGAAUAAAUCAUCUUUCUUUUUCCAUCUAGCGGUUUCCAAUGUUUCGAAUCGCGUACUUCAUUCUGUGGACGAGCGUGUUCGUGGUUUUCCAGUGGAUCAUCCAUGCCGUUGUCUCAAUGUGGUAAGUUUCUGAGCAGAAACUAAUCGAUCGUUCGCUUAUACUUCCAUAAACCUUUGACUGGAAAACAUUGACACUUUGAUCUGGAAUUAGGUGGCCAUAUCCAUUUCUCGACUUGUCGUCUAAAUACGCUCCUUUUUGGUAUGAACGACGAAUGCAUCUAAACCACAUUACUAGCUACUCAUGAUUCGUCUUUUUGGAUAACUGAUUGUAUCAAUUUUGCAGGUACCUUGGAGUGGGAGUGAUGCAUAUUCCUUGUUACGGGAUCUUUGCUCUUAUAGUUAGAUUAAAAUACUUCUGCUUGGCAAAAUGAAAGAGCGACUCCGUUCGAUCAAUAUCGAAAGAGAGAGGCAAUGUUAUGAAGCACAGGCCAUUUCAGUGCCUUGGCUCCCAAGUUUCUGUAAAAAGUCUCGAUUAGGGUUAACGAGUAUUAUGUGUUUGGUUAUUGUUUGAUCAAACCACCGUUAUAGAGUUAAAUGCACCUAUUUUUUCAAUCCGGUUAGAUAGCAAUUUCGAGAUUACAGUUUUGCUAGGUUUAUCACAUUCAUACUUGUAGAACAAAGUUAACUAAACUAUAAAUUCUCAUAUGGACUGGAAUCCACCAGUUUUAUAGUUCGCGAAGACGAAAACCUAUUCGGUAAUAAUUGUUGAGAGCACAAGAGAGAGUUAAUUACACGAAACUUCGAAUGUUUGGUCUUCUGCUAUUUCUGAUCCUGUACUAUUCUCUACAGGCUUAAGCCGAGUGUUCAAAGUACAUAUCUUUCGAAACUACGAGUGUCCAAUGAACAUCCUUAUCUAAGGCUUUACAUUCUCCCUGAUGAACCGUUCAACAUCCGCGAUUUUACCGGUCAAACUGGAAGCUUCCCCGACCGAGACAUUAUUAGUGCACUGAGAGAAUGAAAAUGGCUUCCCGGAUAUACCAAGUGUAUGGUAGUUUGCCACGUCAGCAUCCGAAACACUGCUUCUCGAUUCUCGUAGCUUAUCACUGUUAGCAGAGAGUGCAAAUACAGUUAGAUGAGCUUACAAGUAGCUAGAACAAGCAACACGGAGGAAUCGAAAAGCUGUACAUCUCUUUUUCAAGUUGCUUGCAGAUGAACUCCUUGGUAUGUGCUGUCACCUUCUCUGUUUUGUUGCAGCAGAUCAAGACUGGAACCUUCUUGCUUACCACACUUGCUUUAGUCAAAAUAUCAUACAGGUAUCUGUCACCAAAAGAAAAAUGACAAAAAAAGAGUUGGAUGCAUUGUAAGCAAUCACACAAACAUAGGAUACUGUAUGGUUAAUUUGUUGAGAAGGUUUUACUCUGAAACUGCACGGAGGUUAGGUAAGAACUCUAGAGCAUCAACAAGAAAGACAACGCCAGCUGCUUGAGGCAAGAACUCGUCCAGCUUUGGCCGGAGACGAGGAUGCCCAGGAACAUCAACAAUGUGGAUAGGUUUCACCUUGCGCUCCUGUCGAGGAAUGAAGAAAACGAGAUAAGCAAACACGAAGAAGAUAAGAAAACGUCCCUAGUAUAUGGUUUCCCAUUCAAUCGAGAUAUCUAGAGCUUGAAUAUGAGCAUUCCAAGUGUUGAUUACCUUGCCAGCUUCAGAAUGGAGACUGAAAGUUCCUUCGUUUGGUUCCAUUGAGGUCGCAGCACCUUGAUGUGAAGAGCCAUCCCGAAGCUAGCAAAGAAGGAAAACAAUAUUUAUCAGAAACAUGUGGCUUCUAAAUCCAACUUUGUGAAAUACCAGACACCGGGAAAAAAAGAGAUCAUAAACAACACCGCCGAGUUCUGGAUAGGGCAAACUAUGACAGUUUCUUGGAAUGUAUCAUCAGAGUCAGGCAUGAACCAGAAACAAAAACAUGUAAGAAAUGAUUGGCGAGCACACCUGAUAGAAAAGAACUGUUUUUCCACUCCCGCUAAGUCCAGACAAGACAAUGGUGUUAGACCUAGAGCGUUUGAACAAGCGACCUGUGAAACAAGAAAGGAUAUACAUCAAAUACCAUUCUCAUUCUGACCUUUCCCAGGAAUUUGGUCACGGGUCAUUCAUUUCCAUCCAACGAUGUAAAGUUUGGAUUUCAGCAUAGCAUAUGUUAAACCAUUCCAGAAACGAAAUACCAGCUGGGAAUCAGAACAAAAUUCAAAUAUUCAGUUCACCCUCCUGAUUUAACCUCCAGUGCAUGAUUAAGCAGCUAAAAUUCAAUUACCAAUGUGACCACUAUUGCAGCUAGAAGCCUUAAGUUAUCAAUUGUCAACCUAACCAGUUUCUCAAAAUUCAUCCAAAGAGUCACUGAUCCUCGAGGACCAACUCAAAGCAAGGUCAACUUAUAAUUCAAGGGGAAAGAGGUCAACAUUACUUAGAAUCAACACAAGAAUAGGGAAACACAGCACGGCAGCAGCGGAGUAGAGCUGAACAGGCGGUAUCUGACGAGCGUAUUCAAUCCCUUGCUGAAUUGCCGGUACCUGACUGGCGUAUUCGAUCCCUUGCUGAAUUGCUGGUACCUGACUAACGUAAUCGAUUCCCUGCUGAAUCCAUUGCUCCGCCUCCCUCUUCCACUGCUCAAUCCCUUCCAUCGAUAGAGAGAUUAAACACGCAGCAACUACGAAAACUCCCGCAGCCAGACAGAAAUUCCAAACUUCUUCAGAGAAUUAAGAUCAUUUCUGGAGCUCGAGAUUGAUUACCGGCGAGAGGAGACGAAGACACAGAGCGAGACUCCGCCGAGGUCGCCGGUGAAUCGGAGAAGGGUGUGCGUUUUGGACCGAGAGUGAAGAGUUCCGAUCUGGUGACGAUCUUUUUAAAGCUUCACCGUUUUUGGUAAGUUAGAAGAAGAUGAGUUGGCGAACUUCAGAUGGGCUUUCGGCCCGGAUAGCUUAAAUUGGCCAAAAUCGUUAUAGUAACUAAAACGAUUAUUGGGCCGGUGGAAUUAUGAUCCGGCCCGUAGAAGAGAAGUUGCCAUCCUUACUGACGGGGUGAGGAUGGUAAAGAAGAUUUUCUCGAUUAUUCACAUGUAUAUUCAAAGUAACAAGUUUUAUACACCCUAUCAAUUAUCAAUACAAUAUGUAUUGAUGUUCCCACCAAUUUGGUUCAAGCCAUAGCAUCAGCAAAACAAUUUGUUUAGCUAUAAAGAUAGAUUGAAUCUCCCAAUCUCUAACACGAAAUUUCUUAAAUUGAUGUACCAAGCUAACAGUAUUAUGAUUUACGUCAUUGGACUUGAAAAAGAGUUAUGUCAUAUUUGGAUUUCCACUUUCUGAAAUUCUCGCCUCCAAACGAUUUCCAAAUCAUCAAGAACAUCCUGCAACUAUACUCUAUUGAUUGUAUAAACACCCAAAUUAAAAACAAAAACUUCAAUACUCUUCAAAGAUGAUCGCAAAAAACACCUCAAAUAAUUACGUAACCUCAAUCCGAUCCACCGAACCAUCAAUUCAUCUUCACCCAACCAUCAAUAAUAACCUUUUUAUUGUCUUUUGUCCCAAGCAAUAAUAUAACACCAAACAAAAUCCAAGUCCUCGUCACAAGUUGGUGUUUGGUACGCUUACUCUCCACCCAAUUCCGCAACUACCCAUCAAGCACUAAACUUCUCAGCUCGCAACUCUCACCAACUUCGCAUCUUCAAUUCAAUUUCUUCCCCCUGAUCAGGUAUGAAUUCACAAUUUCCAUUCAUUCUCAUCUCCAGUUUCGAUCCAUCGUUCUUCUGAGUCUCACUCUAAUCCUCCGUUUGCAUCCCCCGCCAGUUUGAAAAAAAAAAUGGCGCGGAAGAAGAUCAGAGAGUACGACUCCAAGAGGCUUCUCAAGGAGCAUUUCAAGCGCCUCUCCGGCUCCGAUCUGCCCAUCAAAUCCGCCCAAGUAAGCCUUUUUUUGUUUCUUCUUUCAAACUCACGCAUGAACAGAAUCCCCACCGUGAAUUUUGUGUGUUUAGGUUAAGGAAUCGACUGAUGUGUUGGAGCUGGCGGAGACUGAGCCAUGGCUGUUGAACGGGAAGCUGGUGGUGAAACCGGACAUGCUGUUUGGGAAGCGUGGCAAAAGUGGGCUUGUGGCGUUGAAUCUGGAUCUGGCUCAAGUUGGUUCCUUUGUGAAAGAACGGCUCGGGAAAGAGGUUGAGAUGAGUGGAUGUAAAGGACCCAUUACUACUUUCAUUGUGGAGCCGUUUAUCCCUCAUGAUCAGGAGUUUUACCUCAACAUUGUGUCUGAGAGGCUUGGAUGCAGUGUUAGCUUUUCGGAAUGUGGAGGGAUUGAGAUUGAAGAGAAUUGGGAUAAGGUAAACAAACCAACCCCGUAAGGAUUGAAUGAAAAGGAGAGAAUUUGAUUCUUAAGAGCCUUGUAACUUUGUUCAUGCGUGUUCUUAGGUUAAGACGAUCUUUGUUCCGACUGGGGAGUCCUGGACUUCAGAGAUCUGUGCUCCACUCAUUGCUACAUUGCCUUUGGAGGUAAACUGAGUUUGAUUUUUGGUCUUUUGAUUGAAGAUUGUUUGAAGGAGUUAAUGACAUUAGGAAUUCUGUUUUUUUUUUUCGGAUUCAGAUUAGAGGCGAGAUCAACAAGUUUAUUUCGGUGGUCUAUACUCUAUUUCAAGGUAUGCGUACAUGUCGCCAUUAAUAUGUGUCUGUAUAUCAUCAUUAUUUUUGGCUGUUAUGAGAGAAUUUUGGUAUUUCGAUGAGUAGAUCUUGACUUUACGUUCCUGGAGAUGAACCCUUUCACUCUGGUUGAUGGAAAGCCUUAUCCUUUGGACAUGAGGGGGGAACUUGAUGACACUGCUACAUUCAAGAACUUCAAGAAGUAGGAACCCCCAUUUCCCCUUUGAUGUUUUGCAUUACAGUUUCUGUUCCUCUUUUUCUGUUUAUGUUUCCUGAUUCAAUUGGCUCGAACUGUUUUUUGUAUAAAGGUGGGGAAACAUUGAGUUCCCGCUACCAUUCGGGAGAGUGAUGAGUGCCACGGAAAGCUUCAUCCACCGUCUAGAUGAGAAGGUACACAUCUCCCUCACAAAUCCCAUUGAGCCUUUAUGUUUCUGAUUCAUUCGGAAUUUUCACUGAUCGAGAAAUGUUGGAAUUCAUUUUGAUGAUGACAGACAAGUGCAUCUUUGAAGUUCACAAUUUUGAACCCAAAGGGGAGAAUCUGGACCAUGGUGGCUGGUGGAGGUGCGAGUGUGAUCUAUGCUGACACAGUAUGGAUCGUGAAACUCUCUGUGAUUCAGAAGCUCUUUCCUCGUCAUGGCUUCUUAUGUCUUUUCUAAUCACAGGUAGGAGAUCUUGGGUAUGCUUCAGAGCUGGGGAACUAUGCGGAGUACAGUGGCGCACCGAACGAAGAGGAAGUUCUGCAGUAUGCCAGAGUUGUGAUUGAUGUGAGAGAACUCUUUUCUCCACACCUCUGAUUCGAUAGAGUCCUUCACGUUUUUCGAUGUUGAAUGCACCCUUUUGCGUGUUGUGUGUGUCUCAGUGUGCAACAUCUGAUCCUGAUGGCCAAAAGAGAGCCCUUGUUGUCGGAGGAGGGAUUGCAAACUUCACCGACGUCGCUGCCACCUUCAAUGGCAUAAUCCGAGCGAUGAAGGAGAAGGUGAGUUCUCAAUCUGAUAAAUUCUUCGUGCAAGAUGCAAUCUUUUUGAGUGAAAGAAACCUUCAUGCAAAUUCUCGUUCUCGUCCUUAGGAAUCGAAGCUGAAAGCUGCCAGGAUGCACAUAUUUGUAAGGAGAGGAGGUCCAAACUACCAGAAGGGUCUCGCCAGAAUGAGGGCACUCGGGGGAGAAAUCGGGAUUCACAUUGAGGUACUACUCUCGAGAUUCAUGAAACAUGUUUUUUUCUUAUGUUAAAUUCAAACGAUUCUCAAUCUUAACAAGGUUCGUCUCUGCUUCGAUCGCAGGUUUAUGGUCCGGAAGCGACAAUGACUGGUAUCUGCAAGCAGGCUAUUGAGUGCAUCUCUGUUUCUGCAUAAGCACCCCUUCCUCUCUUCAUGUCUUUGGUGUGCUGUCAGAAAUUUUGGAGUCUUUAGACUGUUUUCUGUGGAAAUGUUGAUCUUUUCAUCUGGUAAUAAAACUGGUUGUUGAAGCUUAUUAUUAAUAAGAAGCUUAAAGAAUCAAGAACAAGACGGGGGUGGUUUGGAUGGGAGUAUUUUAAGAGAAAUGGAGAUAUGGAAAGAUUGGGUUUAGGGUGGUCUUGGUUGACAGUUAGGUACACCAAAAGAGAGCAUCAUGACAUAACCAAAAAAAGAUAACUCGCAUCUUUCUCUUACGUUAGUUCAUCAGAAUCCAACGUUAGUUCAUCAGAAUCCACUAGAAAAUAAUGUUCAUGACAUCGAUUAAAUGGACCCAUUUGAAGAUCAUCGCAACCACCCUUCGGAUAGUAUGUUGUAUCACAAUCCACAGAGAUGAAAAAGCCAGAUUUGCGAACGAGGUAUAAUCAAGGUGGUAAUUUCAUCGGUUCUCAUCGCACUUUUUACUAUUUUUUUGUAGUUUUGUACCUGGUUGAAAAUUGACAUUUUUGAAAUUUACAUUACAGAACAGCAUCAUGGACUAGUCUCCAUACGGAAAAGAUUACUUCCCACGGGUCAUCUAUAUGAAGUAGUUUGGCUUAGAUAACUUAAAGAAUCUCGUUUGUAUCAAGACACUUCGUUUGUCAUCCAAAAUAAAAAUCAUGGUAUUUUUAACUGUGGUAUUUGAAAUAAAUACUUGGUUAUAAGGUGGUAUUUGAAAUAACUAAUUCAAAACUCAAAAUUUAUUAUUUUGUAUUAGUCAAAUAAGGUCAUUUUUACCUAUCAAAUUUUUUAUACUUUAAAAAUAUCACAUUUCCAAAUAAUAUCUCAUUUGUAAAAUAACUCGUCGGACAAAAACGGAAAGAUAAUUAGAGGGUAGCAUAAGGUUUUGAAUGAGAGGGUGCUUAGUUUAGGUAGUGGUGGCCUCGUGGUCCAAGGAAUUCCCGUGGGAUUUAAAUAAUAAUAAUGAUUAAAGUGGGAUUAGGAGGAGGAUGGGCAAGAGUUCAUAAUAAUAAUAAUAAUUUAUUGUUGGUAUAAUUAUUUUUGACUGAAUUAUUAUUAUAAUUAUAAUAAUUAAAAAAAGUAUAGGGAGAAUAUUCAGUUGAACAACUCAAUAAUAAGUAGGUCGAUCGUUUUUCUUUAAUUUACUCAAUUUAUGACCGAGGUUGGUACCACUUAAGAGGCUAUUACUUAUAUUCUAAGAUCAUUAGGUAGAAUAUUUUGUGUUCCCUAAUAGCAUCUAGUUGAUCAAUGUUAUCCAACUUUCAUCUUAUAAGUUGUCAUGACAUUAUUUUUUUUUAUAAUAAGCUGUUAAACUUUCAUUCAUGUAAAGCAAAUUACAUUACGAUUAAGUUAUCCCAUCGGAGGGGCAGGCCCUAUAAUCAAGGCUAUAUGGACUGCGGAUCCUUACGAAUAAGUGACAUCACUUUUUUCUCUCUAACAUAUUGAUCAACUAGUGAAAAUCAAAGCAAAACAUAGAAAUAGGCCAAAAGAAACGAGACAAGUAAACCUAUUGAAGACCUAGCCAGCAAGCGACCUUAUUUGACACCCUGAAAGCGGCCAGGAUCCCAAGUGGUCGAUUUCCUCCUCCGCUAUGGGAUGAGGACCUCUUAGCAUGGCUCCUGGCGGCGAUGGCUCGUAGUUGUCGAUCUCCUCCUCCGCUACUGGAUCUGAAUCGCGGCCGAAGGUGAGGGAGAGCAUGGAAGCGGCCCAACGAGUUGUGGCCGUUGGUGUUGACGCUAAGGGGUUGUGAAGGUGGUUGUGAGUUGUGUUGAGGUGUUGUUGAUGCGAUUAGAAACGGUUACAUUAAGGUCUCCUUUCAGUUGAAAGCUUUUAGGAGGGUUAUCUAGAAUAUUAAUUAGUUGUAUUUGUCAUAACAUUAUUUUCAUUAUUUAACUUAAUUCUUUUCUAAAAAUAAGGGACCUAAUUUGUGUGGGGAAAAAAAUAAAAAAGCCAACGAAAUGAAAAAAGACAAGAAAUGCUCAGAGACCCACAUGCUAAAAGGCGAACAACUACUGUUGCUGAAUUCGAUCAAUCACAGCCAUUGAUUAGACUGCUUUGAUUUUACAUUCUCAAAAUUUUCAAAAUAUUUUUGUUUUAUUUUUCUUUCUUUUAUUGGGAGGCAAAAUUUAAAUUCUUUUCUUUUAAAUUUAAUCCAAACUGCAAAAUAAAUAAUAAAAUAAUUAGGGGGUGAUUUGAUGGGGCUGCUGCCUAAUAUUCUGGCGCGCACCUUUACCAGUAAAAAACAUUCACUAAAAUAUUUGCUACACCAAAAAAUCACAGUUCCAAUGCAGAAUGUUUUUUAACAUUUAUUACUUGACCCAUAAUCACAAAUUAUGAGAAUUAGGGAAUGCAUUUCGGUCACUAGUUUGGAUAUACAUUUCAAACCGGCUAACCGAACAUCGGAUGACACUACUACUUGAUCAUGUCAAGUCGCUUUUAGGCUGACAAAUACACGGUUUAGUGAUGGAGAAUCGGGUGUAGUAUGUGUCUAUUCCGAGCUGUCUUCAAGCUUAUACACGUGUUUUUAUUAGAUGUGUAGAGAUUCUAGUACGAUGGAGCGAGUGAGGUGGUCAAACAGAUGAUGCGAGUGAAAAGAGAGACAACAGAAUACUUGAGGAUGCCCUUGCACGUAUAUAGACCUAAGACAUUUCUGGACUGAUAAGGCGUCUGGGUCUUAGCUUAUUCUGUUUUGAAAUGAUAGGAGACGGGUGAUGUCGAUUACCGUCAUAACAGUGUUGAAAUGAUUGCGCAUUUUGAACUUCGAACCUAAGAUCCCUGGAAAUAAAGUCAGGUGCUAUAAUCCCUUGACAACAACUUGUUUGGCCUAUAUUUGGGAUAAAUAAAUCAAUAGAGUGUCACCCUCAUGAAUUGGGGAUCUUUUCUUCUAUAGUAAUCUCGGGGGAUCCAAAUAGUGGUGUUAUAUGUUGUAAUCUGAUCAACAAAUCAAUUGAGACAGAUUUACACACUUUGUAUGAGGCGGUUGGACUCGGCCAUGUGAUUGGGAUUUCGAACAUGCGCUCGGGUUGCUGGCGCUAACCGGCUCGCCUUAGACCGACAGCCCGGUUCUGGUUUGAGCCACAUGACUCAUCACCACUAAUAACCCGAACCGAAAUUCAAAACUCGAAUUUGGACCGAUUGGUCUUUUUAGAAUUAAUUUGAAAAGAAAUUUGCCUUUGGUGGACAGUGGACUGGACAACGGCGCAUGCUAGCAGGAGGGCCCAUUGGUUUCAGAACCCUUUUUUUAACAGAAUGGGAAUAUAUUAUUUAUUUAUUAAUUUGGUGAAUUAUUUUUACUUUUUUCACUCUUACCAAUUUAAUGAAAAAGCACAUUUUAAAGCGAAAAAAGUCGAAAACAGACAAAAGGAAAGACAAAUUCAACCACGUGACCUGUCAAUAAUCUGUUUUUUUUACCCCACCAAGCAAGCAAUUUUUGCCAAUUUUAUACAUAUUUUUUUAUGAAUGACAUUACUAAUUUUAUUUGUGUUUUUAAAUAAAAACUCAUUAAUUCAUAAUAUUACACAUAUUACUCCAAGCAUUCUCUAACUAAAUCGGAUAAGUAUUUUUCACAACAAUGAAUGUCAAAUAAACACAAUCACUAGCCAAAACAUAGACUUACUUUUAUUGUCGGAGUCAAUUAAACAAUUAAAAUGUAGUUAUUNNNNNUUAAAAUGUAGUUAUUUCAAGAAUGGUAUAAGAUUAUGAGAAAAAAAAACGAACAAAAUAUACAUAUGUAUUCUUUUUAAAUUUUAUAACAUUAUGCGUCUUUCAUCAAGGCGGGCAAGGGCAGUAUUUAUAGUCUGGUGAUGGACGUUGUGACUUCAUCACAUCGAUUGAUAUGAUUAAAACGAUCUCAACCAUCAAUUUGAAAUAGUAUGCUCUUAAUCAAUGAGCUAAGUAACCAGAACAAAUUAAUUUAGAUAAAGUCCAUAUCUCUACUNNNNNNNNNNNNNNNUCCAUAUCUCUACUGUCCAAGAGCCCCUAAGUAAUCUAUUUACAUCCAAACCUCAUCAGAGUUAUAGGUCAAACUUUAAUAUUCAAAUUCAAAUGAUUAUCCAACAAUGUUGACUCUUAUUUGAGUUAUCGUUAACCAAUCAGGUUUAUUAUAAAUUCUACAAGUUAGAUAAUCAUAUCAAUAAUUACUAGUCGAAUCUCGAAUGACAUUCAUUACCUAGAUAAACAAUUUCCAUUUGAAUUCAAAGGUCAAAAUGAAAAAUGGUAGGUUGGUAUACUUACACCCUACAAAGAACUUAACUAACCAGUAGCUACUUCGUUCAAUUUUCUUAUUAAAAUUUAAACGAGACAUUUAUUGUAAAUAAUAGAAAAUCUCGGCCAUUAUUCCAAAACUACUUAUAAAUUAUUAAUUUCUUACAAAAUUAAUCCUCCUAAUUUACCGAAAUAGUAAUUACCAAAAGUACCCCCCUACUGAUUCCAAACGAAAUGCAAUCAACCACAAACAAAUAAAAAAUCCCCCCCUAAAUAAGCAUCCUUUUCAUGUCUUGUAGAUGAUUUAUUCCCAUAACUUUAACCCAAUAAUUGUUCCCCUAAUAAUCAAAUAUUCAAAUUCCCUCCCUUUAUUUAUUUAUUUUUAAUUAAAAAAAAAGCAGCAACUGGUUGAACUGGGGCGAAAGAGAUGACUCUGCAGCAGCUGCUCCUCCAUCUCUGUAUCUGUGUCCAAGUUUUUGGCAUUUUCUCUUAACCCCUUUUGCCAUCUCUUUGCCCCCCUUUUCCAUCUCCGUGGGUUACUGUAAACCAAGAAAUUCUCCAUUCCCAUAAUCUUCUCUCAUCCUAAUCUUCCCACAGACUGAAGAAGAAGAAGAACAGCAAACAAAGAAGCAAGCUUUCCUGAAAGAGGGCUAAAGGAGAAUAGAAUUCUUUUUGGGGGCAGGGGGAAGGAAUUGCACCGGAGUCCGAGGUGCAGCAGGAAAACAUAGCCAGAUCUCGUGGGGGGUGAAAAAGGAAAUUCCUUUUCCCCAAACCCCAGCUGGUGAAAAAUUUGGAGGAGAAAAGGAAAGUGAAAGGGAUAUGAUAUGAGAAUGCUGGCUUCCUGAGAAAGCAAAGGAGAUAAAAUAUUUGUUUUAGUGCAGUGGUUGUUUGGUUGUUAGGGUGUUGGUUGGCAAUGGUGGAUUGAACAGACUGUAGUGGUUGAAGAAGAAGGGAAAAAGAGUCAAUUUUUUGAAGUGUGGGAAAGAGAUUGAGAGAAGAGAAAAAUGGAAGGGAGGAAGAGUUUCAGGAUUUGGGAGUUUGGGUUACUGGUUUUGGCAGUAAUGGAGAUAUGCUCUGCUACUCUUUCUCCUAGUGGUAUUAACUAUGAAGGUCAGUUGUUUCAUUCAUGAGCAAAGAAAAAAUUUUCUGUUUCUUUCUUCCUAAAACAUGUUGUUUACUUGCGUGUGUGUUUUUUCACAGUGGUGGCUUUGGUGGCAAUAAGGAAUGCUUUACACGACCCUUACAAUGUUCUGGACAAUUGGGAUGCUAAUUCUGUGGAUCCUUGUAGCUGGAGGAUGGUUACUUGCUCAUCAGAUGGAUAUGUUUCUGCUCUGUAAGUGUUUGAAUUUAUAUAUUCUGUUGGUGGGUGUCAUGGUUCAUUUACUGAAAUCCAUUUUUCCAUAAAUAGGGGACUUCCCAGUCAGAGCUUGUCUGGGACUUUAUCACCUUCCAUUGGCAACCUUACUAACUUGCAAUCCGUGUAAGUUUUAGAUCAAGUUUUGUACGUUGUAAUGCUGUCUUAGCUUCUUUGAGUUGUUUUUGGUACAAUAUGCUUUAAUCUUUACCUUCUACUUUUCCCUCUUCAGGUUGCUGCAAAACAAUGCUAUCUCAGGUCCUAUACCUGGCUCAAUUGGGAAACUGGAGAAGCUUCAGACUCUUGAUCUCUCCAACAACUCGUUCUACGGAGAGAUUCCGGCUUCGUUAGGGGAUCUCAAGAUGCUGAAUUAUCUGUAAGCUCCAGACAGUUAAUCAAUCAAAUGUUCUUCUGUCAAAUUUCUUGGUUUUCUCAUAGCUUAAUGAUCAUUUAUACAGGCGCUUGAACAACAACAGCCUUACUGGACCUUGCCCUCAGUCUCUUUCCAAUAUCCAAGCCCUUGUGUGAGUGUUUCCUUGCACUUGAACUUAGAAAAAACUAUGGGUUGUUGCAAGCCACAUGAGCUAUUGCUGAAAGUGAUUCUCUUUGUUUUCUAGGGAUCUCUCCUUCAACAAUUUGAGUGGUUCACUGCCCAAAAUAUCAGCAAGAACUUUCAAGUGAGCUGCUUUAUCUCCUUUUUUCUUCUUCACAUGCUCUUUAGAUUCUUAUUUUUCUCUCACUGUUUGUUGCUUUGAACUCAUUUUCUGACGUUGUUCAUUUUUCGACAAUUUCCAGAGUCAUAGGCAAUCCUCUACUGUGUGGACUUAAGGAUGCUAACAACUGUUCUGCUGUAUUUCCAGAACCCCUCUCUCUCCCUCCUGAAGGUGCUUACUGAUAUACUUGAUUGACCUCAAAAGUGAUAUACAUCAAGUUGAUCGACUCGAUCUGACCUAUCAUUCUUUUCUUGUUGGACUUCUCAGCUGAUUCAGAUUCUAAAACAAAGAGUCACCAUGUAGCCAUUGCUUUUGGUGCAAGCUUUGGUGCUGCAUUCGCCAUCAUUCUGAUCGCUGGUUUCCUUAUUUGGUGGAGAUAUAGGCAUAACAAGCAAAUUUUCUUCGAUGUGAAUGGUUAGUGUCCGGUGAAAUUCGACUUCUUUUUUCCUACUAUGAUCCUAAGAAACUUUUUUAUGAUGUUCCUCCAAUACUAAGCAACUUUUGGUUGUUGACAGAGCAAUAUGAUCCUGAAGUGAGGCUAGGCCAUUUAAGAAGAUACACCUUCAAGGAGCUUAGAAAUGCGACCGAUCACUUCAACGCCAAGAACAUACUAGGGAAAGGCGGGUUCGGAAUUGUGUACAAAGGAUGUCUGAACGAUGGGAGCAUAGUGGCUGUGAAAAGGCUGAAAGAUUACAAUGCAGUAGGUGGUGAAAUCCAGUUCCAAACCGAAGUAGAGACCAUUAGCUUGGCUGUCCAUCGCAACCUCCUUAGGCUAUCCGGUUUCUGCACGACCGAGAACGAACGUAUUCUUGUAUAUCCUUAUAUGUCGAAUGGCAGUGUUGCAUCUCGAUUAAAAGGUAAGUUUAUACAUAAACUCUUUAUGUAUGUCGAAUGGCCAUGUCUCUUCCGAAGGUGGCUCAUUCGACUUGUUGUGUUUCUGUUACAAUGUUUCAGAUUAUAUCCAUGGAAGGCCAGCUCUUGAUUGGGGAAGGAGGAAGAAGAUAGCUUUGGGGACAGCUAGAGGUUUACUUUACCUACACGAACAAUGUGACCCGAAAAUCAUUCACAGGGACGUUAAGGCAGCUAACAUAUUGUUGGAUGAAGAUUUCGAGGCAGUUGUCGGAGAUUUCGGGCUAGCAAAGCUGUUAGACCACAGGGAUUCACACGUUACCACAGCUGUACGUGGCACCGUUGGCCACAUUGCACCGGAAUACUUGUCGACCGGCCAGUCGUCAGAGAAGACCGAUGUUUUCGGUUUUGGUAUCCUCCUCCUUGAGCUAAUCACGGGACAGAAGGCACUUGAUUUCGGAAGGGCAGCACACCAGAAAGGUGUAAUGCUUGACUGGGUAAUGGUUCAACCUUCUAUUUGCUUGUCAAAGUUUGUGUCUUUGCACCGUUCCUUGUCAAAGUUUGAGUCUUUGCAUCUUCCCUCGUCAAAGUUGUCUUUGUACCUAACCCAUGAUGAAUAUUAUGUGUGGAGAACUGUUGCAUUCCAAUAACUCGAGUUGUUGGGAGAGAUUCAUAAUUAGUCUUUAUAUCAUUCCUUAAUAUUCUGAAAAUGAACCAAAUGAACCAACUUUUAUAUGUGUACACAGGUGAAGAAGCUUCACCAGGAAGGAAAGCUACAGCUAAUGGUGGACAAAGUGCUGAGAGGGAAUCUGGACCGGGUCGAAGUCGAAGAGAUGGUCCAAGUGGCGCUGUUGUGCACACAGUUCAACCCCAUCCACCGUCCGAAGAUGGCGGAGGUGUUGAAGAUGUUGGAAGGGGAUGGGUUGGCUGAGAAAUGGGAGGCAUCUCAGGACCACCUGGAAACACCAAGGUUCAUUAGAACAUGUGAAUACUCGCUUCCUAUUCAGAGAUAUUCGGACUACAUUGACGAGUCCUCGCUUGCGGUCGAAGCAAUGGAGCUGUCCGGUCCUCGAUGAUGAUGGUAGAGUGUGUUCAAAGAGAGGAAGAGUAGCAUUAAGCAUCAGGAGUUCAGGACCAUCUCUCCCAUUUUCAUUUCUGUACAAAUUCUUUAGUGGUUUUAGGGAGGUUGUGGGAAGUUAGGUGCACCAAAGAGUGUUGUAGAGGUUUGAAAAUGUGGAGAGUUGGGGUGUGAUGAUAUGAUGUUUUUUAUUAGGAAAAUUAGUGUUGAUAGUGUGUUUGUGUGUAGUGAUUCAUCUGUGAAAAGGAAAAGCUAAGUUUGAAGAGGAAAAUAUCAUGAGAAGGGCUUACUCAGCUCCAACAAGAGAAAUUAAGAUGACAGCGAAAGAAAUUUAUUUGAAUAUUGACUAAAUUUGUAAGAUUGGUCUUAAUAUAAUUUGGGAGAUACAUGAGAGUUUAUUUUGUUAUUAAAUAAACAACUCUAUUAACAUCAUACACAGACGAAGAAAGACAAGAAUUUUUCACAACAAUCACACCACCAGCCAUACAUUGUGUACUCCAUUGAAACGACAAGAUGAAAACAAACUCACAGUAAUCAUCGAUAUUUAUCUGCUAAAUGCCUUGACAAAAAGAACCAGGCAUUUUAAAGAGUCGGGAAUUGUAAAACAUAGGUUCAAGUGGAGUUGCUCCAAUGAUAAAACAGUGUGUUUGGUGAUCCGGAAGUCAUGGGUUCUAAUCCAACAUACCCCAUGAAAAUAAACAUCAAUGUAGUGUUUACUUUCCGCCUUCUAUCUUAUAUCGACCGAAAAUCUCGGUCUACUCCAAAAAAAAAUCAAUAGGUGGAUCUUAGCCCUUGCCCAUGAAACUGGAUAGUCAGCGAGAAUUGGGCCGGCUGAGUGUUUAUUCUACAAUUACUGCUCCUUCUGCCACGUGUUUCCAUUUCGUGCAUCGGCGGGAAAGUUUACUGCGUCUCCUGAUCUACCGGUUCAUCCUUUACUUUUGCUUGUUAUGACCAGAUUGCCCUCUCCCUAGAUGAGGUAUUUACAAGAGAUUUAGUUAAUUGUCCCAAAUUAUAAUCCCUUCCAUAUAUCCUACCAAUUUAGAGGUUGUUUGUUUUUCGGUGAGGACUGAAACUAAGAUUUAGAUUAACCACCAAAAAUAAAAAAUAUUACCCAAAACUAAACUAAAAGAUAAUGUAAAUUAAAAUGGAAUUUUUUUUAUUUUGAUUACCCAUAACUCACCAUAAAUAUUAAUUUUGAUAUUAUAAUGUGAUGCCUACAAAUGCAUAAUUACUUUCACAACAUAUAUUUAUUUUGACGUUCUACUAUCAACUAUUAUAAUCAUUCAUUUUUAGAUUUGAUUACUUGAUAUUAACUUAUGUUAUGCUCUAAAUUGGUGAUUGACAUUCGACAUCUUAAAUUAAAAUUUUAAAUAAUUUUCUUUAGACAUGUAAAUUUGAUGAGCUUACAUCCUCUAAAAAUCAGAAACAAUUGCAUCUUAGUUAAUUAUAUUACAUGCUAAAUAGGUUGACACAUUAAUUUGUAUUUUAACUAAUGAGAAACCAAACUUACACCAAUACAUUUUGUACCCAAAAAAAAUAUGAUAAAUAAUUAUCAGGUUUUUUAAUUUAGGAUCCAAAUUUUCCAUUUUGAAGUAAUUAGAAUCCAAAUUUUGUUAUCAGUGAUAAAAUCACAAAAUCCAAUCAAAAGUGAAGGAAACCAUCUACACUCUCCCCUCCCUUUAUAGUAAUUGCUGGAUUCACUGAAGGGCUUUGAAGUAACUUCACACAUUAACAGUUUCAUCUUCCCCAAAGUCUUUUCACAGUCCACCACCGUUUACUUCUUUCUCCCGCCGCUUCUUCUUCCUCUCACUGAACUGAACAAUCUCCCCACCAUUUCCGAUCUCGAUUAUCUCGUUUUCCCGAUCUCAGAACUUCUAGAUUUCUCCACUCACAUUUCUCCCGCUCAUAUAACGGACUCCUCUGCUAGCUGCUUGCUAGCUAAGCUUCUUCAUCCAUCCCAAGACCUCCUAUGGUGCUGGAGCAAUGGAAACCAAGAAACUCGGAUUCCAAUCUGGGUUUUCCCUCUGGAUAGCCACCACCUUCUUCCUCUUCAUCUCCGUAAUCCUCCUCACUACUUCCUUUCAGGGUCGUGUCUCCUUCCAAGGCGUCCGUGAUGUAAACUCCUCCUCUGCUUCGACGAUUGUUUCUUCAUGGCCAUUCACUAUCCCCGCUUCUUACUUCCCUGCUACUCAACCCAAAUCCACCGCUACCAACGCCUUUGGAGUCGUUCUUGGGAAAGUGAAUCUGGAUAAAAAUGGAAGCGUGGAAAGUGUUCGAGGAAAUGUCACAGAGAGUAAGAGCUUGUCUGGUGCAGGAAUUUCGAGUCGAGAUGGAAGCUCGGAAAGUGUUCGACGAAAUGUCACAGAGAGUAAGAGCUCGCCUGUUACAGGAGUUGCAGAUGCAGGGCAAGUUGGCCGAUCCAAUAAUGGAUAUGUAGAUCGAGGGGAAGAUGUGAAACAGAGCAUAGACGAAGAUUAUUACCAAAAAUGUGAUAUAUUUGAUGGGAGGUGGGAGAGGGAUGAAUCCAAGCCUUAUUACCCUGCUGGUUCUUGUCCUCAUAUUGAUAGGGAUUUCAAUUGUCAUGCCAAUGGGAGGCCUGAUUCUGGAUUUGUUAAGUGGAGAUGGCAGUCAAAUGGCUGUGACAUCCCAAGGUACUGUAUGUUUACCUGAAAUGGAAACUUCUAAUUGUUCAUUCUUUUGAUAAAAUUUGGAUUAGCUAGCUAGUUUUACUUGGUCAACGGUUGUUGGAGAUUUGAAGGUUCAUUUCCUUAUUGGUCUGUGUAUUUUUAGGUUGAAUGCGACUGAUUUCCUAGAGAGAUUAAGAGGGAAAAAGAUGGUUUUUGUGGGGGAUUCUCUGAACAGAAAUAUGUGGGAAUCUUUGGUGUGUAUACUCCGCCAUAGUAUCAGCAACAAGAAGAAAGUUCAUGAGAUAUCAGGGAAGACUGAGUUUAAGAAGAAAGGUUUCUACGCCUUCUUGUUCGAGGCAAGUUGUUGGAAAUGAAAUCACCUCACUUAUGUUAAACCACUUUAUAUGAUGUUUAAUUGUUUGAGGUGUAAUUUGCAGGACUACAACUGUACUGUGGAUUUCGUUGGCUCCCCGUUCCUCGUUCGAGAAUCAUCCUUCUCUGGUGCGAACGGUACGUUAGAGACGUUAAGGUUGGACUUGAUGGACAAGACAACUUCCAUGUACGAUGAUGCUGAUAUACUAGUUUUCAACACUGGUCACUGGUGGACUCAUGCGAAAACUUCUAAAGGGUAUGAAUGAACAAUACUCUACUUCUUGUUACCAUUUUGCAACCAUAUGAAUGUCGAAUUCGUGUUUUGUAGAGAGGACUAUUAUCAGGAAGGUGAUUAUGUGCAUAAAAGGCUCAAGGUACUUGAAGCAUAUAAGAGGGCACUUAGAACAUGGAGCAGAUGGGUUGAUCAGAGCAUAGAUACAAACAGAACCCUUGUCUUCUUCAGAGGCUAUUCAGUGACUCAUUUCAGGUAUAGAAUACUCUUGGAAUCUCAUUUUCAUCGAACACAUUCUUUUUUCUAUUCCAAGUCAUUAGUUAUCUUGUAAGAUUGGAGCUUAGCAAAGAGGUAAAGACUCAACGACAUGUUUGAAAUUCCCCGAAUUCGAGUAUUUGACACGUUUAUUAGGGGUUUGUCUUAUCUCUUGUCAAGUGCAUACGAUUCCAACAAGGAAAGCUUCGUUUGUCUUGUUCUUUUGCAGAGGUGGCCGGUGGAACUCAGGAGGACAAUGCCACAAAGAGACUGAACCGAUCUUCAACGCAACUCACUUAGCUAAGUACCCUACGAAAAUGAAAGUUUUGGAGAAUGUGCUCCAUGAGAUGAAAACUCCAGUGAUUUAUCUGAACAUAAGCAGACUCACGGAUCACAGAAAAGACGGGCACCCGUCGAUUUACAGAAUGAAAUACGAUACGCCUGAAGAACUUGCUGCAGCCGAACGAUCCCAAGAUUGCAGUCACUGGUGCCUUCCGGGAGUGCCGGAUACCUGGAAUGAGCUUCUCUAUGCCUCGAUCUUGAAGUCUGGGAUUGGAUCAACCUAGAAGAAAUGAAUCCAGGUGAUUCGCAACGGUGCAUCUACUGAAUCUUUUUCUGAAUACCGAGUCUGCUUCUACAUAAUACCAAUUCAUCUACUGAAUCUUUUCUGUUGUAACUUUUACCAAUUAGCCAUAGAGUAGCAAAAGCUUGUUGAUUGCUUAAAAGGAUGUAAAAUUUGAACGACUGGUUCUGCUAGGCUCGAAAUUGUAGAUUCUGAUACAAGAUACUUGUCUUCAGUUCCAGAGAUUCCAGAAAUGGUCAAAUGUUUGAUUCUUGUAUGCUAUUUACACUUCUACUAGCCAACUCAGUUUUACCAAUUCCAGAAAUUGAUGGAUGUUUGUAGUACUUGCAUUCAAUACGCGGCAAUAAUCGCGAUAAAUUGUCGUUUUUAACUGGUUUAACAAGACGGUACGAUGAGUAAAGCAUCGAUCUUUAUCGGUUCAACCAGGCAGUACGAUAAGUAAGAAGUACAAACAUCAAUCCUCUUAUGAUUUGGAUUUUCAGAAACAAAACAAACCAAAACAGAAACCAUACUGGUGGUUUUUGCAGAAUCAGAACAGACAUCAAAACAAACUGGAUUGCAACAUAAGAAAGCAAAAGAUAAAUGUUUUAGCCAUAAGAGGAACUCCCAUCAUGACUGGAGCCGAACUGCCUUUCUGUGACUUGCCGGUUCGCCAGCAGAAAGAUGAAACCUUUCGCCAUUAAAGGACUGGAAAAAUUUCACCUCAUCACUGAACAAACUGUUUUGAAGAAGAUAAUGAUGAUGAACAAUGGAACCCACCAAAGGCAAGGUUUGGGAACCAAUCAUCCAACACUCCAAAUCUGUUCCCCCCCACAAACAAACAACCAACUCCCCCCCAAAGGCUUCUUCUUUCUCCAUGGAUAUGGGGAUCAGAGCUUUGAUUGGAAGAACACUACCAUUUUUCCAGAUCAGGAGUGGAAUCCAAUGGGGGAGAGGGGAAGUUUGGCUCUUUGUGGCAAGAGAGCCAAAAUGGUUUGUGGGGGGUGGAGGAGCUUAGCCUAGUUAUGGAGGGGUUUAAAUAGUUUCAUUGGUUGAGAAGUGAAGGAUAAAUUUUUGGGGGUUUUUUUUUUGUUUUUUAAUCCUUUUGUAGUUAUUUGUUUUGGUGGGUUGUGGAUUUUGGAUGGAAUUAAAAACAAUGAGGUGGAUGAUCUAUAGUUAGGGAAAGUGACUAAUAAUUGGAUCUUUGUCCCCCCUACCCCUCUUGAUAAAAGCUUCCACUUUAGAGAAGUCAUUUUGAAAACCUUAGUCAUUAUGUAAUUGAUAUCAUCACCCUUAGGGUUUGUG
rnacentral:lncRNA from 1 species